AAUGAUAAACACGUUAUUGUUAAGACUGUUGAACAGUGAUUAAAACAUUUGGAAAUUGUUCUCUGGUGAGGCAGCAACAGAUCAAGGCACCAUGGCAUGAUCCGAUCUCUCUCCAUCCACUAAAGCCUAAGUGCCAACAGGGGCCAAGGUAUGAAACUGUCCCAGGCUCCCAUAGCCAGGGCAGGAAGGCUUGCCUGCACCAAAUGAUCGGCUCUCGCAGCUGGGUGAGAAGUGCAACACCAUUUCCAGGCUAUUUUGCCAUCCAGACAGGUUUGGUCCCUAGGAAAUCGCUGGCUGAAACACGGUGAUUCCCUCUGCAAAGCUACACAAGCUGUUUUACAGCUCAGGGUGCAACCUGGCCCUAAAUAACGUCAUAUUCCAAGAACAUUCCCCCCCGCCCUCCUUUUUUCUUAAAUGCUCCAGUUCUGUGCAUUUCAUCUGGGGAAGUGCUGGUGUCUGGGAUAAAUUUUUCUGACCCCAUCGUGUUUAGGACAACGCUGAUUGUUCUGCACAAAAUGCCCUACUUACACUUCAGUCACCAGCCAACAUGUGAAAUGUUUUGGAUGCCUUCUGUCAGUGAUUUACAAAACAAUAAACAAGGUAAAAAUAAAGAAGGAACCAUCACGAGUGCCCAUUCCACGUCUUUCUCUCUCUGGCUGUCUCUCACACUUUAUUGGUAUAAUUAUAGCUCGUCUCCCCGUGUUCCCUUAGCAACAGAUGAGGAGGUGUCUGGCUGCCUGUCCACACCACUGCCUCGCUCAGAGGACAUAGCAAAUGGUGCUGCUCUGCCUCCCGCCCUGUGGUGGGAUGCUGACGGGGGGGAAGCUCCUGUGGGAAGACCCACAGCCAUAAGCGCUCAGAGAUGCUGUUUUGAAGAACCAGAUGGAACUGGGACAGGUUUUUCAGAGGAUACAUGGAAAUUCUCUUGGUGAUUUUGAGUUUUAUAAGAAACAUGCAGGCGACAUUGCCAGGUCUUGCACACUUUAUUGCAUUAUUAUGUUCCUGGUCAGAGUGGAUUGUUUUUAAAAUCUGUUACUGCUAGCACAAGGACCUGGGUCAACUGGAGAAGGGCCAGCUGUUUCCUACAACUCCUCCCAACAGAAGUCAGCAGCUGAGCACCUCAGGUACGAAAAAACAGUGAUACCAUUUCCAGCUCCUCAAACACCUCCUCCCCAGCAGGUGCUGUUCUGGGACUGGACCUGCUUGGCCUGGCAAGGCUCCUGGCAGAGGGUUGCCUGGACCCAGCAGCAAAUCUGGCCUCCAGGUUUCACAAAGAUGCAGGUGUCUGACUGCCUUUGUUGUAUAAUCAAAUAUUGUUUUCUACAUCUCAUCAUGCAGCUGUGGAUUAGAAAACUCAAUGGCAGAGUCUACCUGCAUUUCUAAAAGUCCCAUCUGUAGUGUGCUUCCCCAAAGUCCUGGCAGACCAUGAUGUGAAUUGGUGUUUUCUGUUCUUUGCUACCAAUAGCAAAGAAAAUUGCAAAGAAACAAACAAGCUGAUUCAAUGCCGUGUAUGCUGUUCAAGCAAAAGGGAGACAGGAAAAAGCCAGCAGAGCAGGCAGACACUAGCCAUUUUAUAAUCUUCCCAGGCCCCUCACCUGCAUGUCCCUCUAUCAGUUACCAUCUUUGGGGGCAGGACUUUUGUCACCACACCUGCACUGUCAUAGCUGCAUCCACUCUGAGAUGUGUGGGUCAGGCAGAAAGCUCAGGGAUAGAAAGCAAAUGUGAAACAUGAUACCCCAUAUAUAGCCUUGUACUUUGUGCAGUCCAUAGGUGACAUCAGCCUGUGGCUGCGCCCUGCUCAGGACAGGAGAGGAAGGGCCAUCUGAGACCCCUGCACAGCUUUGUUAGGCUGGUCUGUGCACCCAGCAUGGACAUGCUCCAUAUUUCCUGCAGCACUCUGUGACAGCUGAGGGGAGAGGAACAGGGGCUCUGUCCUGCAGGUCCUGUCAAUCCCUUACCAUCCUGGAUGCUCCUGGCAUGUGGGGUGUCAGUAAAUUCCCAGCUGGCUGGAGCCCAAACCUGGCUCCUCUGCACCUCCAGCAGACUGGGCUGAGGCUUGACCACUCUCUGGCUUGUAUCUCCUUGCUUAGAGCUCCUGUGUUCACCAUGUGUCUGCUUGCAGAACAAAGCUGCUCUUUCGGCAAGGAAGCACAAUCAAAAUAAAGGUUCACAUGUUCUGAGUAAAACCUAAUACAAGGGAAAUGCUUUGUCAGUCUCAUUCUGUUAAGUUUAGCAAGAUAAAGCUGUUCGCUUUGGGAAGAGCCUUGUCAAAUCAAAUCAAACCUAUUCUGCUCUGAACAGUACUGUAUGGAAAUGAAUCAUCCCAGUGUAAGCUGGAACAAUCGCAUAUGCUGCCUGAGACACAUUCUGUGUUUCCAUCUCAGAUUUCAAGGCACCCAUACAGCCAAAGCAAGUUGCAGUCGUCGGCUGCAUAAUUCCGUGCAAACUGUGGGUUUGGGCUUCAGUUCUGCAUGUGCAAGGGCUUAUAAGAAAUGCAAGAGUCUGGAACACGCAGAGCAGAAGGGAGAAGACCAGGCUUCUAAUAAAAAGGUCUCCAAGUAAAAGAGUUACCUCAGAAAAGUGCUUUGGGUUUUUCAGAAAUGCCUGAAUAGUCCCUGGUUUUGCAGGACUAAGUACCAGUCCUGCUUUCCCAUAGUGUGGUAGCAUGUGGCUCAGUAGUGGGCCAUGCCCCUUCUGUCUGCUGUGUGUCUCCAGGUGCCCAAAAUACAAAAGUGUCUUGUUCUUGGAAAAGUCACAUAGUUAUGUGACUGUGGGAGGCUGGAGAGAGGGUUUCCGAAUUUCUCCCAUGGGCAAAGUGACCUUAAUAGAAAAUGUCAUGAUUUUAUGAUGCAGUGUGUACUGCAGUGCUGCUGCAUCUCCGUUUCUUCUCUGAGUCUGCUCAAUGUCAUUAUUGCCAGCUAAAGUUCAUGUGCAAACAUAAGGAGGGAGUAGCCUUCACCUGCAGACCUGGGUGGAAAGGAAGGAGAAAGUUCAGUCAAACUUUUGUUUGUGUUUUACUCACUGGGGAGAAAUUUAGAAGAAUUAAAUUCAGGUGAGCUUUACAAGUACCAUCAAACAAGCUCCGAGUACAGGCCCUGAAAACAGGACAGGACAGGGCUCAGAGGUGGCCAAACCUGGAGAAGCUUAAAGUACUUGCUUUCCAGGGAGGCAAGGUGCACAUAAGCAAAAUUAUUGUUUGGCUACUUGCUCCAUUUCCUGGAUGGUUUGGAAUCAAGUUUCUCCUGACUCCAAAACCUUGUAGGCAGAACUGAGCCCCUGACAGAGAGUCCACCAGGGUCAGACUGGGGGCAAAUACAGACCCAAAAUAGAUCAGCUGCAGCAGUCUGAUGACUGUGAACAGAAACCACCAGCUGUUGACAGUACAAAAAAAAUAUUUAAAAGAUGUGUACUGCCUGGUGCAACUUGGUUUCUUCGCUCUGCUAUGAGUCACAGCUGUAGACAAGUCUUUGGAGAAGCAGAAUAUACCUUUCACAUUUCCAGAAGCAUAACCUGCCUUGGCUGACCCUGGUUGAGGGCUGCACUGAUUUACAUGCCAUAUGCUCCAUCCAGAAUACUUGUUUGGUCUCAGACAGAGCAUAACAAGAUUAUGGAAUAGUUAUGGGAUUAGUUAUGAUAAGCUGUGGAUCCAAGUUGCUUCUUUCUACUUCAGAUCUUCCAAGAGACUCAAGAAGUGCAUCUAUUCAUCUUCCUGACCUCUCAUCACCAGCUCUUCUAGACUCAAUGCCAGCCAACAUCACUGGUGCUGAGCAACUAGAUCCCAUACAGUCAGACUGAAUGACCUAAGCACCAUGGAGCUUGCUGCCUUUGGGACAACCUCCCUGUUCCCAGGGAAGCUCAGAGACCUGGUGAGAGGUACCGUGGGUUUUCACCAGCCAGCUGCAGGGACAGAGAGACCACUUUGCUGUGCUUAGACUUGGAAGUGGGUGGAAAUCAAGUUUUCUCCUAGAGAGCUGGACCAUCUGGCCCCUUGAUGCUAAGCAGCCUCAUGCUCCACUUUGACAAGGGCUCCAGGGCAUUAAGAGACAGUCCCCAUCCCUUUCUAGUCUGUCAGCUUUUGCACAAACUAUUUUUCUGCAUUGUGGGAGAUAAAUAUUUCCUGGGUUCAGCCAUAACUCUUCCCUGUUCCUACCCCCAGAUCUUCUGAGAGAGAGGGGCCAUCAAUUUAGGAAGUAUUUGAAAAUGCCUUUUAAUUUCCCUAGGUAAUAACAGAAUCUACUUCAGGGACUUAAUCUGGGCGUAGUGUAAAAUUCAAAUGAGCCCCAACCCUAAAGUAUUAAAAUGGGAAAAUUGUAGCUAAAUGUAAGCAUCUCAGUACCUGCAGAAUUGUGUCCAGCUUUUCAGAAUAACACUCAUCUCUUUUAGGCAUGUCAAAUGCAGCACAAUGUUGCAAACUUUGGUCCUUUGAUUUUAAACUUUGUAUUGGCUGAAGAAGUGGUUGACUGCUUAGGCUGGAGGAUAUUUUAGGAAAAGAAUCAUCCUGGUUUUUAAUUUAUUUUCUAAGCAUACACAAACAACCAGUCCUGGAUAUAACCUCUGGGUUUGAUGAACAUUGUUCUUUUCUGUAGUUAUCUUCUUAUGCAUGUUUAGGCAAAGUCACAGACCUGGCUUAUAUUGAAUAAACUGUCUCCAUGGGAUUUUAUGCAGCAUCAGGCAGACCUAAUUUGACUAAAUAAAGCACCUGCUGGCCCAUAGUAAUCUAUGUCAGCAGUGCCUUAAGCAACAGCUAUUCUCAAUAUGGUAACUUCUGAAGUACUCUAGCCCAUCUUGUGUUAUAGGUCCAAAUUACAGGCCAUGGAAAGAGGAAGGAGAAAACCUUAGAAUGUGACAUUCUUCAGCAUGAGGAGUCCUUAAUAAAUCUGGAGGUCUUUAAUUUAGUACUUUCCUGCAAACUACAUCCCAUCACAGAAUAAGUGGAUCUGAAGUAGUCUUGCUUGACCUCUGCCAAUACGUGUACUUACUCAUGCAUUCUGCAGGCAACAAAAGAAAUAUGUGCUAUUUUCUAACCUGCGUCUCUGCAUGCUGAUGUCUGUACACCUUGUAAAAUCCACUUCUACUAUGUGUGGGGUUGCAGCCUACUCCUGCAUUUGGCAAAAAGUCUGCCUUCUUACCCUUGUUCACUGAUCAGGUGAAGCAAUAUCAGGAAAGAAGGAGCCAUCAGGAUUGUCUUUUAAAACCAUGUACAAAUUUAUCUUUGAAUGGCUGGACCUGGGGCAGUGCUAGACGUGCCUCAAAAGUCUGCUUGAAAUUAAAAUGCAUAUUGCAUGUAUCGUAGGUCAUGGCCGCAAAUGGAUGGCACUCAUGAAAAGGCCAGUUCUCUGCACUCUCAAGUCUCUGUGGUGCCUAAAAAAUAACUGGUUUUAUUAGUCAGUAUAAAGUAAAAGCUCUGUUUUCUACCUUUGUGCAUUGUUCAUACCAGAGGAUCUACGUAUUAGAGCUAAGGAUAUUGGAUUUGUUGCAGGUUUUGCCUCUUUGCAGGAUUUUCUUUGCUUCCCUGUGUACUGACUACCCCUACCUUGAGAGCACUGGUUCAUGCAGUGCGUGCUUAGGCAAAGAAAAACAAAGGCAGACUAUUUUUCCCUUGGCUGGCUAUUACUUUCUUUUGUUUAGAUAUUCUCAUUUGAAAGAUGGGCUGGAAUCAUACUCCUGUCAAAAAAAAAGUAGUGGUAGCCAUCUAGAAAAACUAAGCAUUAAAAUUACAUGGAUAUUCAUAAAACUAGGGAGGAGGGGUCACCUUGCUAAUUUUCACAGUCUUCUACAAGGCAUGGGACCACUUUUAAAAAGGCAUCGUAAUAUUUUUUCUUCCCCUCUAAAAUAAGCAAAGGUCCCUAUUUUAACCACCCCUCUCAGAAACAGCCAGACUGUUUUCAGUAGAGCUUACAAAACAAGCAGCUGUGUAGUUUGAAACACUGAACCCAUAUGGGAAACUUCCACUCAGGUGAGGUCCAUAAACUAGUAAGAGCACGAUCUAGUGCUACAGUCAUGACUUUUUGAGGGCAGGAACUGGUAAAAUAAUUAAGAUUUCAAAAUAUAAAUGACCGGACACUUUUGGUAUUGGGGUAAUCAGUGGAGGUCAGAUACCAUGGCCAACUUCCUUCAUUUUCCCUUUUAUGGGUCAAGGACUCCUAUUUUUUUUUUUUUUCUGAAAUGAUGGCAUAAUUAAUAAUUAUUAAUAUAGAAAGAAUCUCUCAACAAUCAAGCCUAAAUAAUCUGCAGAGGUGUGCACUGAUCACAACAGAAUGUGUUGGUGUGUUAACAACACUUAUGUGUAUACUUCCAUGCGUUAUACUUGCUUACUAGCAACGCUAUGCUGUAAUUAGCCUCCCUGGGAAUCUUAAUUCCAGGAGCAAAGUCAUUAAUUUCAGCUCCUCAUUUUCCAGUGUACGUACACACGUGCACACACACAUACACAAAUACAAUGUUCAGCUGCAUGUCUGAGUUCAUACACACAACUCUUGACAACUGUUUUGAGAGCCUUUUUAAUGAAGGGUGCAAUAACCAUUAAGUUCAGGAACAAGAUCAGCUAGUAUUUCUGAGCUGCUCCUUAACUUCUUACCCUGUAAUUUAUCUAGUCAUUUUUAAAAUGGCCAUGGAUGUGUCUGUCUCGCUAAGGUUAUAUGGGAUUUCUCAUGAAUACCAGUGUAUAAGCAGCUCUUUGUCUGGGUCAAUGUGAAUUUCUUCAGAGCAACCAUGGAAUCCCCACGUACCCAGCAAGGGCUGAUGCACUGUGGCUAAUGGAUUUUUCUCUACCAAAUCAGUAGCUUUCAAAUUCAGGGUGCAUGUGAUAAAAGUCAUGCCACGUCCUGUUUUGGAGCUCAAUGCCCUCUUCAACCUACUUUCUCAGUCCAUAUUUGUGUGAGAUCAAUUUCCCUGCUGUCUUCUGGCAGAUUAGAACUCUGUGAUUAAUAUGUAAAUUAUUUUUGUUCAUCUUAUUAGCUUUAUGUGAAUUAUGUUUAACCUGUUGGUAUUCUCCAUAUUUCCAAACAUGUCAUACUCAUCCAUUUUAAGGAUAUAGGGUAUUUGCUGACAGAAUAAUCAAAUCCAUACCACUGCGUAACAAGAGUAAGUGAAGGGAAGGAUGUGAUUAUGUGACUGGGGUGAACUAUCAUGGCUUCAGUCUCACAACAAUGUUCUUCCAGGUUUGGAAAGGCAAUGCAAGGUUUCUCUUUGCAUUUCCCAAGCAGCCCUUGUGAAGUAGCCAAUGGUUGUCAUUGCAGAUGUUUCAUGGAUGGUUCAAGUUGUUCCGUUAUUUAUUUUGUAAUCUCUUCCCCAACAGUCAAGGCAAUCUAUGGAAACAAACACAAGUAUGAAUUUCUAGGGAAAAACAUAAGGUAGAUACUGGCAACUUGUUUCUACUUCACUGCUCCCCUCGCUGCCUCCCCCAUCUGUCAUUUCAGCUAAUCCUCUCUCCACCCAAAUGAUCAGCUAGCAGAAAAUGGUCAGCAACACGUGCUGGGUCUCUGUGAUGAAUCCAUGCUUGUGCUCCCUGCCCAGGAGCCAUUCAGAACACAGGAGUGGCCAUUCUGCAUCAGAGCAAAGAGGCCUCUAUCCCAGACUUGGAAUUUUCACUGCAGCAGAGGCCGACUGAAAUGACCACGUUCCCAUAGGCGUUCCCAUCCGAGCUGGUCAUGUAGAUUCCUGCCAGAGAAAAAAACUUCUCCCAUGUGAAUGUUUGAUUCACCUACCCCAAAGCAAAUGCUUAAAAUAGGGCUAAAUAAUUGCUCCCUAAAAUGUACCUAUUUCUCUCAAUGGCGCAUGAAGUGAGCUGGGGUGAGUAGGUCUGCUGUCCACAUCUCAAUUAUCAGCGUCUGAAGUCAGGCAACAUAAUUUCCACUUGCACAAGGUUUCAAGACAAAACCUUAGGUUUUCUCAGGGCUCAUUCAGGAGGGAGGAGAUAAAGGGUGGAAAAACAGACUAUUAUUUGAGUAAAAAAAUGAAUGCAUGAAAAAAAUGAGAAUUAACAUCUUUGCUAUGGUUAUGCUGAUUAUGCUACUUACAGUCUCUGGCACCUUGCUUAUUUUUUAAGUAUUUGAGAUGUAGGUUUUGGAGGCAUGAGCUGCAUACUGCUGUGUUUGUGCACUGACAGAGCCAACAGAGGUUCAGUUUUAUUGGUCUUAUUUUAGGGCUCACGGAAUGUGUAUAUUUUAUUCCAGCAACCUACUCUACAGAGAGGGUUGUUAUCCAAUAAACAAACUUAGCCUGGAAGAAACAAGGUUUUCCAAUGAUGUUGAAUAGCUGAAGCUAUUUUAGGCAUGCUGGUCUGUGCAUAGAGAAUAUAUAAUGGCCUAAGUCUAUUAAAGACACUUGUCUUCAUGAUGAAAGGCAGGAGGGAUAAUUCAAGCCUGGUGUCUGGUUUCUAUUAAUAGAAUCAAAAAUAAUGAGCUAAAAUAUUGUGGUUUUUUACCAGCUCUCCCUGAAGCAUCAGUCCACAUACACAUAGCUGUCUAGGUGCUGAAGUUCAAGAAAUACAUAUAAAGAAAAACCACAGGGAAACAAACAAACAACAAAACCAAAAACAAAACAAAAAAACCCACCAAAACCAAAACCAAAACCAAAGGAAAAUUUGGGGGUUUUAAAUCCAUUUAAAAAUAUCUUUUCUUUAUUUUAAACAAACUUUCAUGAGAUAAUACAUAGGAUUGGAUAUUCAGGGCAUUUUCGUUGUAGGAGGGUAAUUUUCAAUUACCACCUCUGUAUUAUUGGCCUAAGUACAAGAGGGAAAGAUGCUACUGCCAUCAGUGAAUAGGAGAUGGUGUAGCAUUUAGAUGGAAAAGUGUCUUCUAUAUGUUGGGCAAAUCCUUUGAAUGAAGGGUAAUUCUUGGUUGUUCCUCGUUAAUCUCUUUUUCUCAAAUGCAGGAGAACAGGUCAAACUGAAAACCACACGCCACUGUGGGAGCCACUGUAACACUUAAAACCCUGUGUUAUUGCAACUAGCAGAAAAAAUAAGAAGUUAAAAAAUUAUUUUCAUUGCAUUAAUAAUAAUGUAUUUUUUCAUCUCCUGUCAAUUAUUUUUUUCUUAGAGUAAUCUUGGUAUAUGAAAGGCAUAUUUCAGCUUCCCAGUUCUGGCAAAGAUCUGGGAAGCGAAUUAUGAAAAUCAUAAAAAUCAAGUACAACUUGGAAGACAUCAUCUGUCUGGCCUCCCUGCAGAAGUGCUUUGCAGCAGCCACCUCUGAGGUGUGUUUGACAUGGUGUGUAAGACAAAGUAGCUUUGCUCUAAUUCCACAAAGCAGAAGUAGGGAAAAAUACUAGUCUACCUGUUGCAGGCAAACCAAUAAAAAGAAAGUCAGUCCUUGGAAUGUGUUUUGAGAAGACGAUCCUGUGGCUGAGGAUUUUUAUUUUAAAUUACUCCAAGACAGCAAAGCCAAAUAUUUUCUCUUACAUCUAGUUUCCUGAAUUAGUGAUCACCGGAGGCUUUUGAAGAAGCAUGAGUCAGUGGUUUCACUUGAGGGCACCAGCCACAUUCAGAGUAGAACUGUCUUUUUAAUAUGCUUUGAGGAUAAAUACAAACUAAAAGUAAAAUUCAUGCUCAUCCAGCCAUCGGCUUAAAAAUGAAAUACAAACAAGAAAUGUCAACCUUUACACUCUUCAACUUUAUUCUGAAUCUUUAAUAUCAGUACAUGCAUCACAGUUGUGCCCAGACAGGCACACACACAAAACCAACAAAUACAGAAAAUACGCACUUUGUAUAAGUAUUAUGUGUGCGUGAAAAUUUGCAUUCUCUGUAAUCUGCAUUGAUCACUUUUGCAUGCUAGCUUAUAAAUAACCCUUACUGAGUGUACUCAGAUUCCACCUAAAACAUUCACUGCAUUUCCUUUGAAUCAGCAUGGAUGCAUGAAGAGGCCUGGAAAUUUAAAUCAGUAAAUGAUCAUUUGCCAGUAAAUGACAACUCUCUUGUUAUCUACGACAAUUGGGUGAUACUAAUACAAGACCAAAAAACUAUUAAUUCAGAUGUAUUUUUUUUUUUAAAGCAGCUUCACAGAGAUUGCAAACUGCGUAAUUGCGUGUUGCUCCUAAAAUCUGUCUGCACUUUUAUAAAAUAAUACUAUUAGCAUAGCACAUCUGGAAUACAUCUUCCAGGACUUUAAGCUAAUGCAAUCAGUGAUAGAAACAAGUAUUUCACCCAGCUUAAAUCUCUAAAUCUGCUUGUCAUCUAGAAACUUAUGGAAGCCACGUAAUAUUUACGGUCUGUGCCACUGUGGUAACAAGAGUUAAUUAUAUCUUACUAUUGCUGAGUGGUGAACCUUUUCAUUGUGAUAAAACAUGGAGCAAGCUAUUAAAAAGGAAAUAAUGGCUUAUAGUAGUCUUAUCUAGUGUAAUGCUUUGCAGUGGCUAUAAAGCUAUCCACUUUCCAUCUACCAGUGAGCCUGGUGAUUACUUAUCAAUAGCAAUUGAGCUGCAAAGUUCUUCCUGGGGAUAAAUAAAAACUUGCAGAGACCUGAUGAUCCACCUCAGCCUAUUUGCUGCGGUCAGCUUGUAGGUUUUCAGGCACGGGGCUCACUGCAGACAACACUGUGGCUACAAUGAGGGAAAAGGGAGAAAGAGGUGUGCAGGAAUGUGUGCCGCACAGACAGCGGGUUUUAAGCUCCAGCCAAUAUUGAGCUGAGACUAUUUAGGCCUCUAUUUGGCAAGGAACUUAAGCACGUGCUUAACUUCAGCCCAACCUAUGAUGUUACUGGAAAGCCCCAUAAACAUUUCAGCAUUUCCAGUCAUCUUGGAAGAACUUCUUUACAUUUUCUGUAUUUUAUAUGUGUAUACUUUCUUUACAUAUUCUUUAGCUCUUAAACUUCAGCAAGGAAGUAAGAGUUAUGCAAAACCAAGACCCCUGCAGCUAGAUAUCCCACACACUAAUUAUUGCAAAUUUGUGAGCUUAGUGAUAUCUUUUGGUGCUAGUGAACAUUUGGUUGAAUUUACAGUACUGUUCUAACUUUUAGGAGAGUCUAGGUAGCCUUGUUCUUCAUUGUAGCACACUCUCUCUUCUUAUAUAAAUAUGUAGAGCUUCAUAAAUUCUGUUCUGCCAGCGGCUUAGAAGAAACCCUUCUUAUACUUCAAAAUUUCAAUUGUGAAAUCAUGAGGGAAAUUACCCAGUGAAGAUAAGUGUAUUUUUGAACCCCCUGUUUUUGAGGAUGCUGGUAUUCUGCUCUGACAGUGCUUCCUGAGCAUCGGUAUGAAUCACACUUUCAAGUCACUAAUGAUUUCUUAAAUUAAUCUGAUACAAAUAAAUUCCCUGCUAUUGUUAGCCAUGACUAUAUCUUUUCCACAUGACUGGAUCUGGAUGGGAAAAAAACGUCUAUUGUGAGGUCACCACCACAAAAAAUGUCCAUCUAUGAGAAUUGCCAUUUAUUCCUGUUCUUCUUAUAAUCACUUCUAUGUGAUACAGUGCUCCUAGUCAUGCUUCAUUUUUGGAGAAGUUUCCAGUGAAAUACAAGAGUCAAGAUGGCUGAUAGAAAUAUUUUUUUGCCAUCCCUUUUUUGCUUCCCUGUGUGCUCAUGGACACAGACAAGGCCAGUGCAGGGGAAUGAAAACAUCAGAGAGGAACGCAGAAGACCCAGUGAUUAACCAGCACUGGGAAGGUCCCUCAUUGUGGCAUUAGGGCAGUGUGGGCUUUUCCCUUCCCAGCACGAACAGUUGGGUGGUGAGCGUGUACGUUAAUGGCACUGGCUCCAUGCCUGAAGCUUUCAUAUUUCUAUGGCUUCGCAGUUCCACCUGUCCUUCAGGAAAGAUGUGUGUUGGUUGCCUUGGUAGUUUCCUAAACAAAUGCAGUGUGUUCAGAAGAAGCACUUGGGGCUAGCAGGCUGAGGGUAGAGAUUACAGCAUUUCCCUCCAUGAGCAGCCCAGGAGUACAAGCUGGGGAAGGAGAGGGCAAGGGCAAACAAACCACAGAUACAGUCCAAGAAGGCUUAAAAAUCACAAACAGGUUAUAAACUGGUAAGCUUAUCACUAUAAUCAAAUACCCUUGAUUUACACAGAGAACACUUUUCCAGGGGGCCUUAUCGUCAGUGUACUCAGAAACAGGAUGCAUAAAAGGUAAAAGAAAACUCUAAAAGGAUUUUUUUUUUUUAAUUACACUCUUCUAAGUGCAUUUGGUAACACUUAUUAUAAUUGACUAAGCAAAGUAUAUACAAUCUUUUUUUUUUUUUGCAAAUACCAAACACAUUCAGUAUUGCAUAUAAGAUGUCAUUCCAUAUUUUAUUGCAAAGGGACUGGAAACAUCUUUUUUUUUUUUUUUUCCAAAUUUCCUACAGCAGAAGAGUGCCUCUUUUCUCUCCUUUCCAAUGUAGGCAGAGUCUCGUUCCCCAGAGAAUGUAAAAGCAAAGAUAUCGUCAUGAAUAUGUUAUAAAUUCCACCUAAGGACAUGUUCCACUUCUAGAAAAGGAGUUAUAAUGAGAAGUGUUUCUUCAAAUAAAACUGUGUGUCACUUAAUUUUAGAGGUCCUCAGAGUUUUGAACAGCUGUAUGAACUAGGGAAGUGCUGAGGCAUAAAGCUUCAUUAAUGCCUCUUGGGUGUGGGCUUGUGUGAGGGGGACCUCACAGAUACCUGUGGGUGUGGAUGGGAAGAACAGUCACAAGAAAACAGCUGGCCCAGGAGAUGAAUCAAGUGGGCUGAGGAGGUUGUGAAAGCUCUGGACACUGGGGGUCCUGCUGAAUCUGCAAGAGGUGAGAAAUUUGGGAUACCCAGAGUCACUUGACAAUGAUCAAGGCCACCCCACACGCCAACUGCAUGGCUCAGGCCAGCUCCAUGAAGAUGGCAGCUGAUGCAUGCAGGUGAAGACGAUACACACACCCAGAAGCUGUUGCACGUCAGGAUGAUCCCCUGCUCCUAAGUAGAGUGCUGGGGCUGGUGCCUCCAUUCUCAUGCCCCAGCCAUGUAGCUGCACAUAGGGGUGUCGUCCAUGGGUGGGGGGAAAGUGAAAAGUGAGUGUGCUUGAAUUUCAUUAGUGAUAAAAGUUCCAUUAGUAAAAGUUAUUCUACAGCUAUUCAUUGUGAUCUGUCUCCCCUGACUCGAUCACUAGGAGGGACAGCAAAAGGGCAGUGCAUACCACACCCCCAUGGGUCCUUCAUUAUGUCCCAAUAAACUCCCCCACCAGGGUCCGUGUUCUUCCCUUGACACCAGGAAGGAGCCCCAGGAUCCUGUACAAAAUUGUUGGCAGAGCUAAGAACAAAAGCAGUUUAGAGGACCUUUAGUUUUAUGGCUUUUUCUUGCUGAAGAUAGAGGGGUGUGUAGGAAAGAGAAUUUACAAUGAGCAAAGACUAUCUUUUAAUUUCGGGACCAAAUUUAUACCUUGACACAAGGCUUACACAGCCAGAGAUCCAAUACUGAAUUGAAGUGCAAGUACAGGUGUUUACUAGCACUUAACUGUAUCCCACCAUGUACAGCAAAAAACAGAGCGCGCCAGCUCCAGGGGACUUACAAAAUAAAUAGACAAGACAGGGUGAUGCUGGCAGGGAAACCAUGGCAGGCAGGGAAAGAUUUGCUCAAGAUCACAAACAUGGAAGGUCCUUUGCAGAGCAAGUGCACUGACCCCAACCCCAGGGCCAUACUCUGUAAAAUGUACUUCACUGUCUCUGUAGCUUUAUGACAAAAAUAGGCUCACUAGGAUUCCUUCUUCAUUUCUGCCUUUUUGUCUGACUUUAUUUAAAACAAAAAAGGAGGAAUUUGAGUAUUUAAAAAAAUAUUUUAAAGUAGUCUUAGACACUGGAACUGGAGCCACCACUAGUUAUGGACCAGAACACAGCAUUACAGGCAUGGAAUAAUCCUCAAAAGUAUCUGAGUAAGAGCUAAAAGUGAAGAAAAGCAUUUAUGCACAGGACUUCUAUUUAUAAUGAAUGUGUUUUAAUGGGAAAGUGUAAAAAUGAAGAGGCGUGGUAGAAACCAUAACACCCAUAGAAAAUGUGUUGUAGGUUUGUUUUGAGUAACAGUUGUUGAUGGCUCAGUCAGGCUGGGCGCUGAGCUGCCUUGGUAAGAGGUUCCUUAAGUAAUGCUCAGAUAGAAACAUGAUCUUAGUAUCAACAUCUUUAAGGAUGUCCAGAAUUUGUACUCAAGAAUGUGCUUAAUGCUCUGCUUAUCGCUGUCUGGGUUAAUUGCCAGAAAAAAGAGGCUCAAAAUAUUUAGCUGCUCUGGACUGUCUGCAGCUCUCAUUCACCAGCAGACUCCAUGAGAGCAGUAGUUCUCAAGGAGUGCUCUCCCCAUGUGUUUCAGUAUUUUUCCUCUUCACACUUAGUUCUCCUUUCAUAGGCACGUGUCCCACUUCCAGACGCCUAGGCUCCUCCAGAGCCUGUUCUGUAAUUCAGUAAUCAUCUCCUUUGGCCUUAGCAAACUUGGCACUGGAAGUCAGGGCUCCUCAUCAUCCUUCAACCCCGAGCCAGCUCCAGCUGCUCCCAAACCAAGGUGUUGGUUCCCUAAUCCAGCCCCUCUUAAAAGACCUCACACUAGAGAUAUGGUGAGGGACUGUUCCUUCUUACCACUACACAAAUGCCAAAAUGUCUGGGCAUUGGGUGCAGGGAGAGGAAGAAAGAUGGGAGGGGGCAAACAAAGACUCGCUUGCUGCUCCUAUCCUUCCCCAGGUGGGUGCUACCUGUCGCCAGAAAGAUAUUUACUACUCCAAACGGAGUCAAAUCUGUAAAAAUGUGGUUUCCAGUAUGUGGUUAAAGGACACACUUUGCGCUUACUUGGAACAGAAAUAAUUUUUUGCUGGUAUUUAUAACAAAGUGGGAUGUAGCUGCACCUGGUCUUUCCUUGUCUAGCUCCUGCUUUCAUGUGGGCUUCUGUUAUACUAAAAAUGAUCCAGACAUGAUUACUGAAUGUCAGCCUGUUCAUCUGAGGAGUUUUAAUUUCUCAACCAAGACAAGAAGCCUGAAAACUGAUAUCCCAGAGGGAAAUUGGCUGAAAUGCUAUAAACUACAGACUGUGCUAAAAGAAAGCCACCUACAGAGAAAUAUAUCAGCACUGAACAUAUGUUUAAAAUUGACUUUUAAAAUAGAUGUAACUGGGGAUUAACUACUAUCACUGUACUGGCAACUCAGCACCAGUGUCUGCAAAGAGAGCAUAGGGAGUUUAAUCAACUCAUUCAUUCAUGUCAGAUCUUUGUAGCUUAUGGCAAAAAAAAAUUAAACUCUUCUGUGUGUCCCUAAAUGCCCCUGACAGCUGAGUAUGAUUUGAUCAAAACACCUCUUCUUCUGAGUGGAACUUCCUCUUCCUUUGAAAAUGAGAAGUUUUAAAGCAUUAGGCCUCCUCUAACUUAUUUCCAUUGCCUUUUAAAAAGAAAAGCUUAACUGAACUCAUUAGCUAAAUUAGUUUCUGAUUUUGUUCUUGCAUGCUGAAAUAAAUCAAUCCAUACAAUGAAAUUAAAAUGACAGCAUUAAACAUUGAUACUCUUAAAUAUUGAUGUUCCAGCUGAAUAGGAUUUAUGUUCAGUGCUUUAUUACUUACUAGACUCUCCAUUGGUGAACAAAGCAUUUAUUACAGACUGCACCUACUCAAUCAGCUGCGUGGGACUUUUGACACUCGUCAGAAAACACCCACAGAAUCACUGAUAAUUCCUUUUGCAUGAGCAUUGACUAUUCAGAGAAAGACAAUUGGGUCAGGUUUCGUGGCAGAAGAACGUUCAUUUUAAGUGGGAUUUGCAAAGGCAUGUAAAGUCAUCUAAGUCUCCUGCAGCAGUCAAUGGGGGUCUGACAAUCCAGUUCACAGGGAAAGAAAAAAAAAAGGAGAUUUGGAGGAAAUGCUGUUUGUGGUUAUGUGGGUUUAGCCUCCCCAGUCAUCAGGACAGCUAAUGAGCCCAGGUCUUGCAGCUGCAGGAGUUUUGGAGUUCAGCCGUGCAUGGCAGGAAUCACAUCAGAUGCAGGUGAGAGACUGGUGUAAUCCCCAUGGAUCCCUCCAGCUUGCCCAUGCUUAAACCACCAAUCCAGUUACACCAUAGACUGUAGAAAAAGGAUCAUAUUCAGCUGUGUAACAUAUUUUAGGGAAGUCAAUCCCUUGAAUGACUUUCUGUUGUAGUGAGGAAACCACCACAGUUUGCUCACUGUAGAGGUGGGGGUGGUAGGUACCUCUGAACAUAUGGAUACUUCAAAAUGUGUGUAUACGGCUUUACUAUUCUCAUCCAGAGGAAAGCAGAACAUUCAGCGUGAUUCUAUUACUUGUAAUACUAAAUACUGACCCCAAAAAUGCGUGACCAAGUGAGACAGACAUGCCAGCCUUUGAGAUAUAGCAUUUAGCAGUAAAGUGAUCAAAUUGCCAGGACAUCAGCCUGCACAGGUGGUAUAACAUCUCAAUCCCCAUGAUUAGUGUCUUACUGCAAGACAUACAAUAAUUUGUGCCUAAUACAUUCCUCUGCUUUUAUUAUGCUUGCCAACAUUGAUUGUGACUCACAGUAAAACAAAAGUAACACUUGACUUCCUUUGCAAGCUCCCACUCAUCAAUUAGAGACCAUAAAGCUUUGACAUUUCAAUGUGGAAAUCAGUGAGUUUCACUGCUGGCUUGUGUGGCUAAUGCACAUCCUUCAGCACAUAAUCGGCUCAGUGCUAAUAAGUUAGAAGGGCUUGGGUAUGGCCAGUCAUGCUCAGGCAGCAGCUUAUUCUAGAAAGCAGCUAUUUUUGGAAGAGCUGAACCAUGUAAAGACUUAACAGGUUAUCUCUCAAAUGAGUCUUAUUACUGCAAUUCCCAGAUGUCCAUGGAUGGGUGGUUGUGCAGAAUGGUGAGACGACCAUAGCAAAGCCAGUCGUGGUGAUUUGGGAAAUCUCUUCCUCUGUGUAACUCUUGCGUAGAGGCUGAGGUGGUGGAGCUGCUUUGCCAUUCUACUCAGUGUAGGCUGAAUUUGCCAUAGGCUGUCAGGAUUGCAUAUACAUCCUGAGCAGGGGUGAUGGAGCGUGGUUAAACCAUGAUGGCCACCCUUUCAAAGGAGACUUGGGCACAGCAAGUCAGGCAGAGUCCAGAUGAGAAACAUCUUUCUCAUGUCCUCUGCAAGGAGAGGAAAUAUGAAGGGUGAUAAAUAUGGCCUCAGGAGGACAAGAAGUACCUUAGACUUGCAAGGUGUAAGUUAAGACAAGAAGCAGGGGAACAGGAGCAGAGCGUAUGUUUUUGUAGCUGGGUGUAGAGCAUGGUUUAACUGAUCAGCAACCAAGAGUUCAGGACACCAGCUGCACAUAAGACAGAGAGACCCUCUACCUCCAAAGUGAAACCACGUGCCUGCCUGCCUGCUGCUGCAUAGGUGUUUUCUCAAGCCCCACAUCCAGUGAGCCUGGAUAUGCUUGAGAGCACUCACAGAGCAUCUCAGAGCAAAUCCAGGCCUUGGUAGUGACUUCUGGUGUGGGCACAGGGCUGACAGAGCUGCCUUGCUUUGCCUGGCAUGUACUGAGCCAGAACUUGUGUAUUCAUGUGGUGUUUUUGCUCUGCAGCAGCUGGCAGGAAGGCAGAGGAGAGUUUCUACACCUGUGGCAUGGGUGUAUGCAUACACCCUGUAGGUCUCUUUGCACAGCCCAGAACUAUGCCUUGCUUGUUUCCUGACAACCAGGACCAUCAUAAAGCCUUAAAAAAAAGUCUGUAUUUCUGUGCCCAUCCUUCAAGCAUUUCUUAUGCAUCCUGCUUUCCCUGGAGACCUAGCAGAGUGGGCCUUGGCACAGUGCUGCUGGCGGAGAGUGGGCUGGCAGGGCACAGAUCUGUGAAAUCAUGGUCCGUGUGCGUGCCUGGAGAAAGACAUGUUGAUCCCUCAACUGCGUGCAAGCCAGAACAUGGCUGUUUUCCAGGACACCACCUAAAAGCCAACAUCUGGCUAGCAAGGCUCUGGCACAGCAGAUACCACCCAAGCAAAAGGAGCAUGCUGGCUGGAGCCAGGUGUGAAGGCAUGGAAAUGUGGCUGACAGCCCGCCAUAGCCUUCAGGCCUCGGGGGUGUAACCACUGAGGUGAAACUGCUCUUUAUUCUUGCAGGAAUGAAACCUCUCAAGCAGCUUACAGGUUGCCUCUACAAGAGGAAUUGCAUAUUGUGGCACCGCUCUUUUCGUGUCAAUGCAACCAGGUGACAUCAGUGUAAUCCCAUGUAGGGAUGGGUUCCAGUCUCUGCCCCCAGGCUCUGGCUCUACUGCUCCAAGAGCAAAGACUCCACAUCAGCAUCAUGUUCUGGUUUUCCUGCCCUCUCCCCUUGUCGUACAGCAGCCUUUCCACUGGGCAGCUUGGUCACAGCCCUGGGGCAUGUCAGCAGCUUUCCUGUGCCGGAGGUGUUUGUGUAACAACACACACAAGAGCACCUCUCACCAGUUACAAAAGGGUGCACUCCUGUCUCCGCUUUCUCCUGCUGCAGUAGCUUCUCAUGCAAAUAGGAGUUUCAAGACUGGUAAAGCAAGACAAAACAGCAAGCACUGAACAAUGAUGGAGACAUACUGUCAGCCCAGGCAAAUAAGCAGACACAGUAAACGCCUUGCUGCUGUUUGCCCAAAAUACUUCAGUUGUGUCUCUGAAUGGGAUUCCUCAACGAUGCACUGCUGCAUAAGAAACCCUCCACUGCAGGAUCAAUGGGUAUUUCUUGAGCAAGGAAAAGUCCUCUCACUCAAAAUGAAGGAAGCUGCUGCCACUUAAAAAGCUUUUUGUUUCAUCAGGAGAAUUCUCCCUCAGCGCUGCCCUCCAGCUCCAGAGGCAUUUCAAUAAAAACUGAACUGCUGGCCAUGUUGUCCAAAGAAAGCAGAAUGGGAAGCCAUGAAUAAUGGAGCUGCUCAGGUUCCCCAGGAUAAGAUUUCAUUUGCAGUCUUUACCCUGCUGCUUGUUUUCCUUCAAUUGGAUGAAGGAGUCACUGACUUCAUUGGAAGUACAGAAAGAAAAAUCUUGCAGCCUGUCUUUUGUGCUAAAUGUAGAAGAGUUUUGUCUUUUCUCUUGUCAAAAUCUACUGUGGUGUACAAUCUCAGAUUUACAUCUUCCCUUGUCUUCUCUGUGUAAAGUCUGGAAUUUCAGUCUUUGUCCCAAGUUUCAUUAGUGCUCUUCCAAGCUUUUCAGCUCCUUCCCAGGCAGCUGCCAGCUGCCUCUUUUGCUGUCGUUGUUCUUCUUUACCCUACUUGUCCAAAAAUCCAUAAUGACUAGCCAAAUUUCUAAGAAGAUAUUUAAAAAGCUAGUGUUAAUAGUAUGUUUUUAUUUCACAUUACCUUCACUCAGCAGUGGAGAAAUCCAAAGUAUAAAGACAUGCUUUACAGAACAGCUACGAGUAAUUGGUGCUGUACAGAGAUUUUUUGAAUGAAUCCAUGCAAAAGUCACUUGGUUUCAAGUUUCACUAUAAAAUUUAUUAACUUAGGGGGAAAGUCUGUUCAGUUACAAGUUAGAAAUUUGGUUUAUUUUUUAUUUUUGUUUGCAGGCACCUGACAAGGCUCAGCACUUUCACAUGGUUUUGACACGAAAUCAGGCAAAACUUUAAAGCCAAUAGGUUCAGAGCAGUUGCAGUUUGAGGUUUUGGAGCUGUAAAAAAGCCUAUACCAACUGCCAAGUAGAUUUCUGGAGGUGUGAAGUGUGCAAACUGAAACAAGAGAAGUCUCUGCUGCACCUGCAAGCUGAUGGCAAGCUGUGCUGCGGUGCUUUGCUGGCUGCUUGGCCUCGCUCCUGCCAGCCGAGGGGAAGGAGAGGAGGGUGAUGGCUCCAGCCUUGUCUGACACAGCAGUGAUGUGCUGGCAGGAGAGCAGAUGCUAGCAAACUUCACACCCACAGGCUACAGGGUGAUCUGCUGCUCAAACAUCUCAAGAGGCAUCCUAGGGGCCAAAAACCCUGGACAACCCCAGCAUCUUGGUGCUCAUUUUGGAGCAGGGGUAAAGCCGUAAGACAGGCUGGGAUCUGCAGUCCCUUCCAGUGCUCCCAUCUGGCUGCAUGUGCCCUGAAAUGAAGUGUGGAAGAGUUAGUAUUGUUUUUACUCCACACCUCCUUGUCCUUGUGCUGACACAUGGUCCCAGUGCACCUGUGGCACCUUCCUGGGGCUGGGGGGCUGUGCGAGAAGGACCGGGGAGCAUGACCGAAGGGACAGUCCUGCCCCACCCCUGUUUGGUUUCCCAUGGACUCUCCAUGCUCCAUGUGACACAGAUUCCUGCUCUGGGUGCAGCCAAGAUGCAGCUGAGAUGUUCAGCACUUCAGCUUCAAGAGUUAUGUUCAGCUGUUGGUGGGGCCUUUGUGCAACUGGAAGGUGCUUGGGAAGACUUUAGGUAGCAAGAGAAGCUGUGACACUUUCCAGCAUGAGCAAUGGCACUGCUAUUUCUUGCUGUAAGGUGAAAAACAGGAUUGAAAGCCUGAUUAAUCUGGGCUGUCUGCUCUUUCCUUGUUGCCUACGUCAGCCCUGAUGAUGAGCCCUAAUAUCCUGCAACAAAGCGCAGGGUUGUUCUCUACUUUGAUUGCUCACAGUGCGUGACACAACUGACCUAGCCCUGAUUGCACUAUUUAUUUGCUACUUUAACACAUGUCCAUAGAGAAAGAAAAAAAUUCUGACCGUAUUUAGACAGUGGCUGUGGAUGGAAUGUGAAAUGCUGGUUUCCCCUUAUGUAAGACAAAAUAACAUAAUAUAAUAUAAUGUAACAACAAAAUGUGGCAUAAAAAUGUAGCAUACUAAACAUAUAUAUACACUUAUAUUGUAUCAUAGCCUGUCUUUGUCCUGUGUUGCACUGGGAACAGAGUCACAGGGAAGAGAGUCUUUUUUCACUCUGAAUGCCAGCUAAGUGCUGGAUACCUGCAGUUUUUGUUCACUGUCACCAUCAAGUCUCCUAAAAACAGUGUGCUGUGCAGUGAGAAGUUAUCCAUGGCACUACAGUUCCCUCCCCAGGGCAUAGGAGAAAAAGGUUUUAUUUGUGAGCAAUUUGCUCUUCUUUUUCCCCUUGGAUUGCUACUGCUCAGAUUCAGCCAAACUUAAUUGUAUUUCUAAGGCUUCCUGGGCAAGGUGAGAAAGUUACUUCGGGUGAGUAUACGUGGGUCAAUCAGCUGUGUUUAAUUUAGGUGCAUAAUUUUGCCACUGUCAUUUUACUUGUUUAUCAGAAUAUGUUGGAGACAAAUGUUAACUCUACUGCAUAGCCAGCUCUCCAGCUGUGUGACAUGAGCACAGCAGAAUUGCUGCUUGAUCUUCAACUGCUGCUGGUUCUCCUCUUCCUCACCUACAGCCUGCUCAAGAGAAACAGAGGGAUGCUGAAAUCCUGAACUCCUGUGAAGCACCUGUAGCAGCUCCUGCCUACCUUUCAAGUACAUAUCUAGACCAGGAGGACUCUGUGGUUGCUUGUGUUUGUGCUUAAGGAAAGAAAUUUUAACCUGGAAAUCUGCCAGAGAGGCACUGCUACAUAAGUGGGAAGAAACACUGAGGAGAAACAUGUAAUGGGGGAAAGAAAGGUAAUGAAAAUGUGAAGGAGAAAUGAGGAAUAAAAAGGAAAAGCAAAACAGAACAAAUUAGCUGUACUAUGAGGCAAAUUUCUGUCUUUGUUUUAACAGUGCUCACUCUAGUCCCAGUGUCACUUCUCAGUUCUCAGGUGAUCUCUUGCAUAUAAGUGGGCUGUAAAUUGUAACAGUAAAAAAACCCCAAACCAAAUGGCAUUAGCCUCUUUUGUUUGUGAGGGAUGGUGUGAAAGAUCAGUCCUGCAGCCAGAAUAUCUCUCCAUCCAGCGUCUGGUCCCAGCUGAGAUAUGUCUGUAGGUGGAGUAGGCAAAAGGGCUGACAAUUUUUCUGUGUGCAAGAUCUGAGUAAAUACACUUUCCCUUUUUCAUUUUGAGAGAUUUCAAGGCCCCCCAAUGUAGUGUUUCUGCUAUGCGGUAUCAGGAAGAUGUUUAUCUGUUAUGGUUUCGGGACAUGUGCAAACGAUAUGUUUGGCUCCAAGUUUCAAGCCUGAGCAGGACUAGAAGUGGUAUGUGGGCCUGAAACGCUCUCUGUGGGGCAGGGAAUUCUGGGCUUCACCUUUGUUCAUCACUGCACAGCAGCCUCAGAGGAAGCUGGACUGGGCCGGAUUCCUCAAAGGUGGGUGACUUUCAUGUUUUACAUAUUUUUAAAAAAAUGCCUAUGGGGUUGGACCGGUGCCACCUUCCAUGAAAAGCCCCCAGAAAACUUGCUUGGCUCAGCAGGGGAAGACCAUGCUGGAUAUUGUCAGUAUGUUAAAAUCCUCCUGAUGCGAAGGCGAGAGGGAGAACUCUCCUGAGAAAGCUGUUCCUUGUUUCAGCUAAGGAACUUGGUAAAUAGGCCCCUGAAUAAUUGCACCUCUGAGAAAGAAAAAAUGAGAAGUUUCAUCAAAAGAAAAACAAAGUUUGUUUGCAUGAGAAGAAAUACGUUCAGCUUUACUGAGACUGAGGUCUAGUCUGUGUGGCAUAUUGUUUGAAGACCUGUCAGAAGAGAUUAGUUGUUUCAUAUAGGAAUCAUAACUAGUGUCCUAUGCAUUAAAAAUACCUCUCUCACCUCCACAAUGGAAAUUUUUCUUUGGAUCAAGCUGACUUGCCCUGGAAUAACUCAGCCCAGGGCCCUCGCAUUACUCUGUCAGACAUGCAGCACAUCCUGCAAGGGGUAAAACCUGUCCCUGCCUCCUACCUCCAAAAAUAAUUAAACAAAAAUAACACCCUUUUUUAAAAGGAAGGAUUGAACCAAAGCAGCUCUUUGAAAUAUCUGCCAACUCAGACAUCAGCCCUUCAGACAAAUUACUGUGAAUGAGUGAGUGUGACUAGGUGGUGUGAUAGCUGGGGUAAUUUCCAUGAGUGAUACUCAUCAGGAAGAUAAUGCUGUUGAAAGUAAAGUUGACAGGGCAUUGACAUACCUGUAGACCAACCUUAAGGUGAUUCAACUCGGCCCCCCAUAAGCUCUUCCAUCCUUCCCCUCAGAGUCAGAAUUUUUUUUCCAAUGUAUAUGCCUGAUACCAUGUUAAUAUUGCAGACUUAGCAAAGUGAUAAAAGAAAUGCAACCUUGAAAUGUAAAUUAGAGCCAAGCAUAAACUAAUAAUAAGCUGGUCAUCCAACCACUGUGAUCCAGAUAUUAUUAGUAAUGCAUUGUACUUAUUUAUGGCAUGGAACAAAUACCUUCACUUUUUUCCCAGUGAAGUUGCUAUAAAAACUGCAGAUCUGUGCUGCUUGUAAUAAUCCAUCCCUUGUUCCCACAAGAUAGCUGGUGAGACCUUGGGUUUGCAGCCCUUCCUGGCCAUUCAGAAGCACAGUCUGUUACAGCUGCACCACAGCCAAAGGGCCUGUGGAUAUCUGUGUGCUAGUGUUCUUUGAAAUAAUUGGUUUACUAUGCAGAAAGGCUUGCACUAGGCAACAAGGUGAGAUUAGGUUCUGGCACAGGCUGGUUGGGUUCCUUGGCUCAGCAUCACUGCUCGAUGACACAGAACCACAUGUCAGUUCUCUCAGGCUGAGAGAUCUGGGGUUGUUCAGCCUGGAGAAAAGAAGGCUCUGGGAAGACUUUAUUGUGGCCUUUGAGUAUUUAAAAGAGGCCUAUGAGAAAAAUGGGGACAGACUUUUUAGAUGGGCAUGUUACCACAGGACAAGGGGUCAUAGGUUUAAACUAGAAGAGGGGAGAUUUAGGCUGGACAUGAGGAAGAAAUUUUUUACAAUGAGGGUGGUAUAACACUGGCCCAGGUUGCCCAGAGAGGUGGUAGAUGCCCCAUCCAUGGAAACAUUCAAGGCCAGGCUGCACAGGCUCUGAGCAACCUGAUCUAGUUGAAGAGGUCCCUGCUCAUUGCAGAGGUGUUGGACUAGGUGACCCUUGAAGCUGCCUUCUAACACAGUCUGUUCUAUGAUUCACAUGGGACUCAAGCACCAGCUUUUCUGCCUCCUGUGCUGCAAAGUUGCACUGAUCCCUCUGACAGAGAGAGAGGAAGCGUAAUGUCUGCACAAACUAAAAGUAUAAACAUGUAUUUCUAAAUUGCAUUAUGUUGUAUUCAUAGUUCUUUCUCCAUCUCUCCCUCAUGCUCUGUUUAGUAUGAUUUUGGUGUACUUUACUGUCCUUUCAUGCCAGCUUUCCAAACACAUCCAAUCAGUUUCAUAACUCUACAGGGGGAUAUCUAGUACAUCUGCCUGCCAGGAUAGAGCAGCAGCUUGUAAUAGGUUUACUUUUCUGCAAGCUGCAUUCUUCUGUGGCAGGCCAGAGGGUUUUUUGUCAGCUGCACACAGACUUUUGGGAGGGAUCUGGUGGGAUUUGUGCUGGAGAGCACCUGGGAAAGCAGAGUUCAGUUCAGGAGAGGAAUCGCACACAUCAGCUUCAGCAUCCCCAGGCCAACUGUCUGACGAGGAAUACGUUUCAUUUUUCAGCUGUUCACAUCCAGAACAAUUUUGGUUUUAGUCUUAGAAGUACCUUUCAGGUUUCUUCCUCUAAGAAUAAAAUUGCUAUAUAAUGUAUAAGAUCUUGAGAGGUAACACAAGAAAAUGCUCCUGUUGUCAUUUCCUCUGUCUGGUUGGGCUUUGUCUCAUGUUAAACAAGAGUAGAAAAACAACGUGAAAUUUAAAGCUUCAUUUCAAGUCAGUGGAAAGACUUUGAGGUGUUCUGGCACAGUGUUUGGAAGACUAGCUUUGUCCUUGGAGUUGGUUUAUGUUAUGGAUAUGCAAAAGAGUUCAUGGUUGUAAGUUUGAUGAUGCUUAAAGUGUGAUCCUGGUACACUGACGCCCCAAGCUGAUUGCUGACAGUCUGCAAAUACAGAUGAGCUCCAUGAAUUAAUAUCAUCCACUGUUCUGAGCAUGUGAAGAUCUGUUUUUCUAGUUAUGUACUUGGCAUACAGCACUCUUUAGGCCAGAAAAUGGGUUUAGAGCUGCAGUUUAGCUUUGCAAAUGCAGAUCGGGUCAUUUGUAUGUUUGACUGUUCGAUUCAUGCAUACAACUAUAUCAGCAAUCCAGCAUAAGCCUGUUUGAAAUGUGUCGCUGGCAGUCAACUGGGCAUUUCUAAUCAAGCCUGACUCUGAAGCUGCUUCCAGACUCCAAAAGGAUUACACUAUCACAAAUCACUGGGUACCAUUUCCAAAUGGCAUAACUGCUGAGCAGCAGCUGGAAGAAAUGCUGCCUGCUUCCUAAAUUUUAAAGAUUGAAAAGUCAUUUGUUUAAAUGAGAAUUAGCUCUUCAUCAUUUGGAAAAACAAAGUAUUGUAUAGCAACCUAAAUAUAUCAGAGGAACAGUGUGUUGACAUGAAGCAAGGCAGAAAAUGCUAAGAAUCUGAGAAGCCUUACAUGCUGUUUUCACCUUUGUACAGAUUUUCCUGUGUGUCCUAGAAUAAGACUAGUCCCUCUGGUUUGCCAUCUAUGAAAUGCCUAUGAUGUUAUAAUUUUACCUUCUUCUGAGGACUGUUGGAAGGCUUUAUACUUUAUUGUUUGCAAAAUAUUUUGAGAUUCCCAAUGGAAUGUGUUCCAUCCAUGUAAAAUAUACGUUAUUCAUCCCCUUUUAAAAAUUGAGUUCUGACUUAAGGAGCAAAAGAUUAUCUUGCAAGAAAAGUGCAGCUAAAAUAAACAAACUAAUACUUAUGCUUUUCACAAGACCAAAAGCCUGAGGUACUUUAUUAUUUUCAGAUUUUGCUGGGUUUUCAUUUAAGGUCCAGUUAAUUCAGAUUCCUCAGAAAUCAGUCUACAAUCAACUCUGGCUGAGAUAGGUACACUGGAUAUAGAUACACCAGUGGGGAUAUAGGCCUGAUCAAUUUGGUAUUUGACGUAUCUGGAAGCACGUUAGCCCAGAUUAAUGCAUUCAUCUGGCUGAAACCAGCUCUUUGCAGGGCCAGCCAGGGUAUCUCUGCACAAUAAUCUCACUGUGCUCUGCAAACUGAUUUUGCAUGGAGUCAGCUCAGGUCUGGAAGGAUUUAUUCAUCGUCACUCGGCCUUGACUCUGUGUGCUCUAAGCUAGUUACUGCCCUCUCCCAUGCAUCACUCUCGGGGAGGCUUAUCAGCCCCAGUACAGUGCAGAGCUCACUCUGCCGGGGCUGUAACGCAGAGACUCUCCAGUAUUGCUGCUGGAAACAGUCUGUAUCUGCUGGGGUUACUGCUCCUGGCUCCCUGCUGGUUUUGCUGGAUGGGUGCUCCCUCAGGGUCGCUCUCACAGGGUGUCUCCUCCUGCGCUUUACAGCUGGGAUGUACCAUCCCCAGACACCGGCUUGUGGAGAGCUGACACCAUUGUCCUAAAUUGCAGGAGAUCAAAUUCUCGGCUGCUGUAAACUGAGGCAGCGUCUCUGACACCAGCACAAACUGCAACAGUUUGCACCAGACAGGGACUAGCACGGUGUCUAGAUCUCACAAGACCUUCAGUAAAUUUUCACUGAUCCUGGAAAGAAAAAAAUUGUUAGUAAGAGACAAGCUAGUUAUUUGUUUUCUUAUCUGUAAUGACUAUGCUGGAAAAGAGGACAAAGCUGUGACAAGCAGCUCUAAAAUAAUUUAUAGAUUACUGACUGGGAAGUUCAUCAUGCCACAGGUCUCACUGAACUUGGCAGCAUUACAGGUUUAUCUUUUCACACCCAGCCGUAUUUUAAUGGCCUUACAGACAGGCUGUACUGGCCCAGUUCUUUCACUCCCAGAUGCUGGCCUUCAUUGGAUAUUCAGAUGCUCUUCUUUGCAGGGGACCAAGACUCAUGGAACAGAGGGUUCGUAUCUCUCCUGGAGAUGUUGCCCUCCUAGCACCAAAUCCUGGUUUUCAUCUGAGAGGCAACUCACUCCUUCCUCCUAAAAAUGAUUUAAAUUAUAGUUGCAGGUAGAGUUGCAAACUUGGAGGCAGGUCCACUGGUAGAUUUGGAUUCAUUUGCAGCCCUUUAGCAAAUCAAGAGAGUGAUACACCAAUUUUAUUUAUCGAAGGGAACCAGAGAAACAUUGUCCUAAUCUAUUUAAUUAUUAUAUAGAGAAUGCAGUCCAUUAGUUUUCAUCCUAUGGACUGUCCUGAGUACCCUUGAGAGCUUUCCAGGGGAUAUUUGUCAGGGAAGUUGCACAGAAAGAAUUCAGUCAAGUUGCAAGGGAUGAAUAAAAAGAACAACAAGAAAGGUCAAGUUCCAAAAUUCAGCUUGCAAGAGAAAUGAAAGCCAAGGACAAAAAAUUCUGUAAGCUGUGUGGUGGCUGAGUGGCAGGAGAAGUUUGGUUCAUCACCCAACAAUUAGCUAGUUUGCAGCAGAGAGCACCAAGAAUGGAGCAAACAACUAAAAUAUCCAUCAGUCUACACUAAUUGUGAUCUGAGGAUGAAUAAAACCAAUACCAGAAAAAAGUGGAAGCACUCGUGUCUAAAAACAAAAGAGUGAGCCUAGCUAAAUUAGCUGCUUUGAGAUUGUCCUGCCCUGACGAUGUUCACCUCUGGGCACUUAGGGUGCUGGAGGACACUGUGUUUCCACAACACCUUAGUCCAGCUUUGAAGCUGCCUGGUAGUAAAAUCUCUUGGGUACCCAUCUCUGCCUCCUCUGUUGCAGUUCAGCCUUCCCUUAGGUAUGCUCCACAAACUGGACUGCUGAUAUACCUUGGGUUGAAAUAAUAAUUCCAAAAUAGAAAGGGAGAAUGUAAUUUUCUAAUUUGAAAAAUUGCAGCUGGCCUCAACAAUAAUUGUACUUACAUAGGUGGGGACUUGGGGUAGGUAGUGGUUUCAGAGCAAGAAAAAGUGAUGAAGAGACAGGGGGUGGAAGGUAGGAAUUUCUCACACCACUUUCUGCCAAACUCAACACAGUAAGAUGCAAGGCAGUUUCGGAUGAAUUAACAUUUAUCAUUGAAAGGUUGCAGUGGACAAAAUAGAUUGCUGAAACUGGAAAGCAGCAAACUUGUUCCAUGUACUUUAAAAGGGAAAAUGAAGCUCAAUAAGCUUUAGAUCUACCAGCCCAAAUUUAAUUCCUGGAGAUAACAGAGUAACAAACUAUCUAUAAGCACUAAGAAGACAAAACUGAUAUGGAUUUCUCAAGAACAAAACCUACCGAAGUGACCUUAUUUUCAUCCCAGACAGCACCAAAAGUCUGAUGGAAAAGAGAAAAUCAUAAGAUGUCAGAUAACAUGAGUGUAGUUUUGACCCUGUAUUUCCCCCGGCAGUUUUAAAAGCAGGCUAUAGGAACGUGUUCUUGGAGCAACUGGAAAGUUUCUGCCCAAAUUAUUGAAACACAGCUCUCAAUAAUUAAUUAUCAGAGGUUUAGUGUCAAGUCAAAAAAGUGUACCAAAUGGGAGUCCAGAGGUCUGUCCAAGGUCCACAAGGGCACAUCAGAAUUUUUUACAGUGCUUGAGAUACUGUGAAAAAGAGAAGUUGUACUAAUGGAUAGCUGGUGUGGUGCCAGGAGGAUUGCAAGCCCUUUGAAGGCAAACUCUGGACUUCAGUACGAGCAUAACAAAUGGGAGAAAUGGUUUGGAAAAGCAGGAAGUAAUUCUAUAAGAAGUGCAGGGUCAAAUGAGCAUGUGUGUGUCAGCAAUGGUUUACACAUGGGUGAGUUGACUUGGGCCAACAUGGAUGGCCAGGUGACAUACCAGGGUCUCACACAGCUUUUUGUUUUCAGUAAGAAGAUAUUUUAAGAUGGAAUAAAAAUAAGGAAGUUCAGUGCUUGCCUGAGCUGUGUCUGGUCCUAGUAACUGCCAUCAAUCUCUUGUAGUACACUUAGUAAUACUGCCUAAGUAGAGUACAUUUUAAAAGAGACAAUGAAGUGAAUCCUGCACCAUUUGAAAGUCACUUGAUUUUUGCCAUGUAAAUCCAUGCAAAAUUUGGCUCAAAGCACUUAGCAUGGAUUAACUUCAACUGCAUUAGACGGCAGAAAAUCCAAGUAUAAAGAACAAAAGAUACAGUGUUUUUGAGCUCAAUAUUUUUGCUCAACAUUUUCAAGCAAAACAUGAAAGAAUUAUGAAAUUAUUUAAGUUAUAUAAAGUGCAGUUCCCUGUCAUGAGUAUGAUUUUUCCGCACCAACGCUAUACCUUGGAAUAGAUUGAGGAAGUGAAGUCAGAGAAAAAAAUUGACCAAGCUUUCUCCCCUACUGCAUCUACAAUAUAUAAAAGACUAUUUCAAUGAUUAUGCGUUGUGGAAGGACACAGAUGUGCACAGCUGAGCCUGGAAAGAAGAGGAGGGUGUGCCAGAAGCCAUACAGACACUUCCCAGGGAUGGUCCUGUCCAUAGCAUCUUCAAAGUUGAUGUGGAAGACAGGGCCAAGCUGACAGGUAUGACAAUGAGCCUGCCUGAGGGCAAGGUUCAAAAUAUUAGCCAGGUCUCCUGAACCUUUGUUUACUGCUUCAUCCAUUGAUCACAGAAUCAUUUUUGUUGGAAGAGACCCUCAAGAUCAUCAAGUCCAACCAUUAACCUAAAUUUGGCACUAAACCAUGUCCCUAAGAACCUUAUCUGUACCUCUUUUAAACACCUCCAGGGAUGGUGACUCAACCACUUCCCUGGGCAGCCUGUUCCAUUGCCUGAUGAAUUGCUUUGGACUAACGGGACCAGCAUUUAUUUAGGUGCACACUUGGCAGAUAGGUUUCUGCAGCAUUGAAAUCUCUGCUAACUGGUGCUAUAGGUGGCAAUAAUUACAGAAACACCCAUAAAAAGUAUCAUGUGGCAAUAGUGCUCAUCCACUCACAAAAUAAGGGGGCAUGGCUCACACUCCACUGUUGCAGGCUUACUGGUCCAGCAGCUCACUGGGGUGUAUAGGGCCAGUUCAGGGCCUAUGGGGCUUCAGGAUGCCAAGUCCUUCAUGGGCACUGGACUCACUUGCAGACAGUUUCUGAUACCCUGCAUUUCCCUGGCUUAAUUCUAGCUUGUAGAAUCAAACGCCACGUAACAAAUUGCAUUGUCAAAGCAGACUGAAAAGAAAUGAAUCAUUCCAGCCUUAUUCAGUUAAUCCAGAAUAAAUAAUGUGAUAUUUCUCAGUCCAUUGCACAUGGAACAGACUAUGCCAUUUGAUUUCUUCUCCCUAAUUGAGAAAAAAUGGUCAGUUAAUGCAGCUGUGGGGGAAAUGGAGAGGUCUGGCACUUCCAGGGCUGCAGAGGAAGGUCUCGGAAAACUCAUUUGCUUGGUGAUGUGUCAGAAAGCAUCCUUCCCCUUUUGAGUAUAGCAAAAAAGGAACAUUUAUAAGCAGACCUUACACAUUUUGUAUGUUAUGCUGAUUGACUGCAGCAAAACAGAGCAGCCUAGGUGUCAAAGCAGACCACUUAAUCCAUGGGGUUAAUUAGUCCCCUGCAGCCACGAAUGGCCACAGGUGCUGCAUUGUUCUUUUCAUUGUUCUGAGAAAGGAAUUGUGCACAUCACUUGCAAAGGAAUAUAAGAGUUUUGUAUUUUCCUUCACCACUGACUGCAAUAAAAAAGAAAAAUAUAGCCUGGUUACAAAUGCCUAUGGGGCUAGAAGUGUUGGCUGCCUUCAGUGGACUAUUCUGCCUGCUAAAAGUCUGCUCCUUUCCUGAUUGCCGGUGGCUAUCAAUGCUUUCAAAACAGAUUUCUUUCUCAGGGCCCAGUGUGGCAGAUUCACUCGACCUCUCCCAGCCAAAUAUCCAGUCACAGUAGCCGUUUGCACUGCCUCCUUUUCCUGGGGUGGUGUUUGGAAGCAAGAGCCGGGGGAGCUGCUGGUGCUCCUGCCCCACUCCUCACUGCUGGGUCACCGCCUCAGGGAGAGCUGCCCAGGGGGAUGUCCAUUAGUUCUGUCCAAAUAACAUCUCACACGGACCUGAGAACUGACUUUCCACUUAUAAUGGACAACGAUUGCACAUUUCUUCUACCUUCAAGGUGAGAACCAUAUACUACACCUUCUCUGCAGCUACUUUUAUACUGUGCCUUGCUGCAGAGCAAGCAAAUGGUGGACUAAGAUUAAAGGUGGAACUUGCCAGAUGCACAUGCCUUUAUAAGAGAAAAGGCAUUGUCACGCUGUUAUUCCACAAUUCUUCUCAAUUAGAAAUAGUUCUGUGAUAGAAAUGAGAUCUACAGCCUUUACUUUCCCACUGUUUACCAAGGUAGAAUUGUAACAAGUCCAGGAUAUUAGCUCUGUGGUCCUGUAGUUUCAAGAAAUAAAAGAUAAGGAACAACAUGGCUGAAACACAUUGUUUUUAUAGUGAACCAGAUUAUUGAUGAAAACAAAAGUUGGUAGAACUCAGGAAGAGCUUUUAGCUACUGAUAGAUAUAAAUCUCUGGGAAAUGGAGUAUUAUAAAUGUACAGUGUGAGUGUGCUGAAGACAGAAAUAUGGAAUAAAUCCCGUGCUGAUAUUAUACUCAUCCACAGUUUAAUAUCCCAGUGUCCUCAGUGCCUAUGUUUACACAACUAGCAAAACCACUUUAAAAGCCAUUCAUACUGAGAAGGAAUGUACAUCUGUAGGUUAUCUGUCACCAGGGCACCCUGUCCGUCAUGUUCCUUGGUUCUGGGUUUUGCUGAGCUGCAGUUCACGCAAGGGGAAAGACAGGAGAAGGAGAGUUUCAGCCUGCUUCAAGUUCCCAGAACUCAGGCUGAUCUGAUCCUUACCUUAAAAUAGCCUGUGGCCACCUCCAGCUUGUGCCAGCCCUCUCACUGGCCUGUUUUGGAAGGAGGGCUUUGAUUGUGUCAACAGGUCUGGAGCCAGUGCUCUUCUUCCCCAUAGCACACUGUGAAUGUUUUCCAUGGCAGCAGUCUAAAGUCUGGAAAAAUUUAGGGUUUUCAACAGCCAGUAGUAUAAAUAUGCUCAUCACAGUGAGAUCAGUACAAGUAAAGAACGUGGCUCAUAUAAACCAGAACUACUGGGUUUCAGCUGCUCUACUCCUUUCACAUUUUCUGAAUGUUGAAGGGUGUAUUUUAAGUAGGGUCCAUGGUGCAUCAGCUGCAGUGUAACAGCGUGUGUGUGUGCCUGGCCAUUACCAGCCCACUGUGUACCACUGGGCACAGUGGUGUGCACUGGUACAGCCUCAGUACCAGGUGCUCAGCACAGGUGGAAAUGUGCCCAUUUGAAAUGAAUUCCUUGACUUUGAAGCACAGGCUGUGUGCUUCACAGUGCACACAGAUAAGUGAAUUAGCUUUGCCUAUGUCUCUGGCAGAGGGGGAUGAUUGUCCCAUGUCAGCUUUUAAUAUCGCUAUAUUAUGCCUGACUUCUAUUAUGUCUAAAACCCUCAAAUCUCUUUAUGUUCCACUACUUCCCCCAAAUUUUUGAUAUUCUGAUAUCUGCUGGGCUUGCCACCCAUUGUCUGCAACUGUCUUCACAAAACAAGGUCCUGCCUCAGGAGGCAUUUCUGUGCUUUGCAGGGCAGGUAUGGGCUGUGAUGGAGUGUGGUGGGUGAUGGGGCUGCUCUGCUGACAACUCCUUCCAUUCAGGACCUUCAGCUGAGCAGGAUGGUGCUCGAGCCCUCAUGGGCACCUGCAAGGGAAACCAGGCUGACUGGUUCUGUCAGCAUCACUGCUUGCCAGGCAAAGGCCAUUUUGACACUUUUUUUUCAUAAAAUCAUAGCAAUCUUAAAAAAAAAAGUUCCCAUUAAAACAAUAGUUUUUUAAAUAAAAAAUUAUUUAAAGAAAAAAAAAUAAUUUUAGCUUCAAACCAUUUGUAUGUUACUGUGGCUUCUCACAUUCCAGCCAAAUGGAAGGCUUUGUUUAUUAGUUUUGCUACUUCCUAUAUUACUUUGUGAUAGAAAAAUUGCCAGUGCAUAAUACAACAUUCUCAUAUGACAUAGUAGCUUAGACAAAAUACCUGGCCAAUAUAAUGCUGACUCUAAUUAUUUAAAAAAUCAUUAUAAUCAGCUACCACUUAACAUGGAUUAAAAUGACUUACUUUUCAUAACAUAGUGUUUUGCAACUCAUAGAGACAACUUAGAAAAUCUAUGACAAUUUAACUAAUAAAAUAAGAAUGCCUUGUUUUCAUUCUUUCUUCAAAAAGGUUGUUUAGCUUUAGCAACCACAAAACAUUUAAUAUAGAAAAGAAAAUAAAAUGUUCCCCUCAGAACCAAGCAGAAGUUGUCCAUAAUGACAAAAAAAUGUGCCUGACCCUCAUCUCCUUCACAAGCCCCAGCUUGUGAUGCCUAUGAGAUUUCCAGCAUGAGUCUUGCCUCUGGGUCUUCCCCGAUGCCAAAUAGGAUCAGCCCUCAGAUCUUAUUUACUUGCAUUUCAAGCUGAAGGCCACUAUAAACACCUAAUUUAGAAAGUGGGGAGGGUUCAGCGGGUACAUCCAAGGGAUGAGGCUUUAAAAGAAUUUGGCAAGGCUCUUGAGUGUAUUUUGUUAAUAAGUAAAAAAUGGAGAUGAAGGUGAAAUAGAAAGUGAAUGCUGGACAUCUGCUCUUGGCAGGAAAAACAGACCCAGCAAAAAAACACAAAGGCAGUUCACACUCAUCUUUGAAAAGCUAUUCUCUUAAAAACCCUACAUCUGAUAAAACAUUUAUUGAGUCAGUUCAGGAAGGUAAUGUGUGAAAUGUGACCCUUUUCUUCAAAAUUAAACUAUUUAAUAAUUGACUAGAAAAAAUACAGGGGUGAUCUUUGAGAACUACAUUCACAUCUAUAAUUAAGGAUGAUAUUAUUUUGGCUUAAUACUGGACUUGUAUGUACAUGUGCAAGCGUUUAUUUAUAUGGCAUCAGCAUAAAGGUAGAAGAAGACAACACAUGGCUCACAAGGCAUGUUAUAUUUUGUGCACAAAACCUGAUGAAAAUAUAAACAUAAUCUUGGUCAGACCUAAGUAAUAUAACAAAUAGUGAAGGGGAAAACAGAGCUGGUCAUGAAGUUGGGUUCAGAACACUCUACAGUACAGGUCACUUUAAGAAAGGUUAGAAGCGAUGCUGUGUCAGGAAUCAAGGCUUUCAGCUCACCAAGGAAGCACACUCUAGGAAACAGGCAUGACAAGGGAAGAUAAAUUAUGUAGCAAUCUUUCUUUGGAUAUGAAAGAGAAAGGAGAAAAUAUCACCAAGCUUGUAUUAUUUGCAUGGCAUUUAAUGUCUUAAAGACAACUGGUGAACCCCAGGAGAAUCAAAGAGGAAGCCACAUUUUUAUUAAAAAAAGGUUUCAUUUUGUAUCAAUUAACUAAUCAAUAGUGAUUUUGUGUGCUGAGGAAGAAUUCAUGGUUUAGAUAUAGAAUUAUAAUAGGUUUAUGGUUUGAUGGUUGUAAACAUUCUGAUUUCUCACUUCUUUUUGCCCAAACCAUUAAAAAAAUUAUUAGGUACAGCCCAGAUUCAAUCAAAAGGCCACUAAUUCAGAUGUCUUUUCUUCACCAGGCAGUGUCUGGCUGUAGCUUCCACUGUUGUAUAAUUCUCGCUAUUCUUUGAUAGUAAUCAGCAAUCUUACAAAAAAGUAUAUUGUGAAAAACCAAGAAAAUCUGCAAAGGAAUAAGAGCUGUAGGCUCAAUAUUAUGUGUUCCCGGCAUGACAAUUACUUCAUCCUGUCUCAUGCUUGCAAGUAAUGAGCACCAAUUCUGCCCAUGCAGAAACACUGAGAUUUUCUCAGGAAAAUUCUCUCCUCAGUGCUCCAGUUUUGCUUUGUACCUCCUUUUUGCUUUGCCCGUACCCUACCUUAAGCCUGUGGGAUCAGCUGUGUCAGCAGAGACCAAAAGCUCCCCAGACCUGCAACCCUGACUCUGUCAGUGGCCAGCGAGGGCUGUGUAAGGAAGCACGGCAGCAAAGGGACAGGAAAGGGGUACAGCCACCCCUCCGUGUGAUCUGCUGUCACCUCUCCAUCACCAGAGGUUCCAGCCAGUCUUGUUGAGUUGACUGUGGCCCUGAUGAAUGUCCUUCUUUGACUUCAUGUAAUUACUUUUAAGAUCUGAAAACAGCCCGUGGCCAUUGCUGUAUGCUCAAAAAUAAACUGAGAGAGGAGACAUUUUAUUCACAUUUCUUCCUGGGGGAACAAGGAGGAGUGCUUGAAUAUUUCUCAACUUCAUAAAUAAAUGAGCAAAAUCUAAACUGCAGAUUUAUUCCUCAAGCAGCUUUUCGAGGCAGAGAGAUGAUUUGCAAGUAAAGCUUUAAUAAAAACUUGCAGCCAUCCCUACUAUAGCAAUGUAAUUGUGAGUGUUCACUCUACCAUAAUCUGAUGGAUUUUUCUGAAUUUAAGAUCACUAUUCCACCUCAGAUGGGACAGGGUAUUUUGUAUGCUUUGCCUCUUUGUCUGAGGUUCUUAACACACAGUAGCACAGUACAGUAAAGAGCAGAUGUUAAAGCCCAUUAACCUGCUGAUCACUGUGAACUGUUUUGUGUAUUCCUUGUUAUCAUAAACUAUACUGAAACUGAAAGCAGAAAAAUCAAAAUAAGUAACAUGUCAAAGUUUUGCAGAGAUAUAAAGGGCAAAAGGGCUAAUGAGGUCUAGUUUAUUUUGAGUAGUCUGCGCUGCUUUGAAAAAAUCCCGAGUAAAUGAUUCAGCAGGGUUAUCUGAGGAAACUGGCCACCAGAAGAAGACAUGUCUUGUUCAGUCUUUACAGUUUGUGUUCUGCCUGUCUCUGUCCUUCACUAUAAUCCAGUUAGACAAAUAUAAUACGGACAGAUAAAGACAUUAAGCUAAAUGGUGAUUUAAAGGGACCAUGCAAGAAGAUCAGAGAGAGCUGGCCACAAGAAUAUGCCCAUGAUGUUUUUAUCAAAGUGAGGCAUCAUAGUGGAGCAGGCACUCAAAGUGUUAAUAUCCUCCAUGUAGGCUCAAAAUUCGAGUUGGGAUGUUUCAGUUUUUUCCAUUUGGCCACAGACUUCAGCGCUCCACUUGCACUGGGCCCAGGGCAGUGACGUUUCCUCUACAGAGGAACUUACCACACACCUGAACCUAUGGGGCAGCAGGACAUCCCUUCAAAGCCUGCACAGCCUGUCAGCUCUACUACCCUUUCCCCAAGGGAGUCAAGAGCUCUGUAGCUGGAGGCACUACCACACAAUCAAAGGGAUUUGGUGACACUAUGCAAGAGUUUGCAAAAAGUUUUCAAGCCCUGUGCCUAGAACCUGAGGCCAAAGAACUUGUGCUUGAUUUUGCCUGUGAAAUUUGGGAUUUAAAGAGAUAAGCAUGCUGUAUCAGAUUAUGACAAAGAGGUAGAAAAGUUCAGCUGAAGCAUCACAUAGGCUUUGAGCAGAUCUUCCUUAGUAAGGUGCCGUUUGUGGAUCACUUUAAUUAAAUGGGCUGCUACACAGAAGCAGGUAUAUUUUAGUGCAGGCAGGUUCAUAGUGUUAAUAUAAAGACAAGUAUGUCAGAGUGAGCAGGCCACUGCACAUUGGGGCUAAAUUCGUCCACAAGACUGGGUGAGUUGUAUGCAGGCAAGAGGUUAAUGUCAGUGCUGUCCUUAGGAAAGACUGACUCUUAAAAUAUCACAUCUGAAUAUAUGCUCUUGUCAAGCUACAAAAAUUGUCAGGCUCCUUGCCAAGAGGAAUUGGGUUGCAGAUGCUGCUGUGGCUUCAGUUCCUUGGUGCUCCUGCAGGAUGAUCUACACACAUAUACAUUUCCAAAUCCAGGACAGUAUUUAUAUCUCUACACCACAGUGGGUGCCAAGGCACUCUCUCCAGCAAUUGUAGACCCUCUGGAUGAACCUGACAUGGUUUCCAUGAGGCUCAAACAUCCAGGAGGAUGAUUUCCGAUUAAUAAAAUCUGUAGCUUGCUCUCCUAUCUCCUCUGUGCAGAAGCCUGCAAAGGUGUUUCUGGGCACUCGUUCUGCAAGGCUUCAGACUCCCUGCACUGUGUUUGUAAGUUAUUUUUGUGUGCUUUGAAGAUUAAACUUAUAGUAUGUAACUUCAGGCAGUCAGCUGAGGCACUUGAGACAGCAGCAACAUCCACCUUGGGCUUCCUCUGCAGCGAGGAGAGAGGCUGAUUCGGAUCCUAUUUACAAAAGCAUCCUAUUUGCACGAGGGAAAACGUGUGUGUUUCUGUGGGUGUGCAAAAUGAUGUCUGUAAGUGUACUCACGUCCUUACAGUUUUACAGGACAAUUUGAUACUGUCUGAAAAUGCAGCCUGAGGUAUUUAAAAGUAAAGAGCAUAAUCUAUGAAGAGGAAUACAGUACACUGCUAAAAAUGUUAUAUGUCUGAUCUGGGAAUACUUAUGGUUUAAGUGGGCUAUAAAUGAAUACUUAACUGCUUUAGUGCUGUGAAGUGAUGACCCUUACAUGGCCUUGAGACAUGCUGCACAGUCUCCUUUAGCUGCCACUCCACUGAAAAUAAUGGGAGCGUGCAUAACAGAGCCAGCCUGGAGGGCAAGACUGCCUCCAGGAACUACCAGACUGUCCUCUGCCUAGUAUAAUGCUCUAAUGUUUCUAAAACAGUGUAAUUCUACUAGCCUAGAUGCAACAAAUGUUAUUUAAGAAUUCCAAAUCAAAAGCACAUGUAGGCUGAGCCCCACAUUUUAGUACCUGGAAUAGUACUGCUGUUGCUAUACAAAUCAUAAAUCAUUUUUGUAAGAAAGAGAUAAAUAUCAAUCACUUAGUACAUAAAUCAUUUCAGGGUAGUAUGGUUGUGUGGCAGAAAAAAUGUAUUUAAUAUAAAUUUUUAACCAAUAAAAGUGCAAAGUUUGGUUUAUUCCAAUUAAUGAUAUUUCUUAUUGUAAGCUAUUUGGACAAUCCCUGCACAUUUGUUUUGUCCUUGUGAGCAUUGCUAGUUUUAGCAUGAAUGAUCAUUCAUCUAAGAAUUCAUGCCUGAAAUGAAAUGCUUCUCAUAAAUGUUUGUUACCCGGUCACAAGAGGGAAAGCACAGAGUGACUAUGCAGCUCCCCACACAGCACAAAUAGUGAGUAGUAAGAAGAAACAUUCAGCCAGUUUUGGAGACGAACUAAAUCAGUCCAAGGUAAUAUUAGACAUAAAGCUCCCUUCAUUCCUUUCACACUCGACCAGAAAAACAGUGUCAUCCCCAACUCAGCACCGCGCAGUUCUUCACAAACAGCAUCUCUGCCUCACCACUGAGCAUAAUGGAGCCAGUGGCAGGAUUAAACAUCAGACAGCCUCUUCUGCCCUAGGCUGGAGCAGUGCAUGGAAGAUGCACUUCAGGCUCUCCUGCCUGCGUUUCCCCAUGCUCGUUCUUCCCUCGACAUGUCAGGUGCCUCUGAUGUUGUCUUGCAUCUUCCACCCAGCACCAAAUGAACAGCAGCAAUUUCAAAUUCAGAAAUAAAAAAAAAUCAGGCCCUUUAACAAGCAUAAAAUGGGCAUAAUCAAGACUGAGUGUGUGCUCUAGCACUAUUUUCCAUCAAAGAAUACCUGUAGUGACACAUAUCUCCCUUCGCUUUUCAAGUCAGCAAAUCUAACACUCACAGUGUUCCCUAUCAUGAGAGGAUUCAGAAAUCUGGAUUCACAGCACCAUGCAUAAUGUAUUACACUACCAUUCAACUUCACAAGAAAAAGUGCAAAGUAGAGGUCAGUCUGCAGCCAUCAGACUGGAACAAUUGGGAGAAGUGUGUUUAUAACAUGAAUAUGCUCAGCUAAACUCAUAAGUGUUAGUGUAAUCAGCAUAAGGCAAUUAGUUCCUAAAGAAAAUCUUAAGACCAGCUAGAAUUUCCUCUGCAUCUUUCCUAACAGUUUAACUCCUUGUCCUGACAGAUUUUCUCCUUAUCUUUUAGUCUUCAUUUUCAGUCCUAGAGAUGUUCUCUUCCAUCUAGUGGGGAUCUCAUUAUUAAUAAUGCUGAAACAGUGCCUGCUCAUAACCUUUCCUAACACUGAUGUCCAAGUCCUGGAACAUUUGGUAUGAAGAACAUUUUGUUUAUCUGAUACAUUGAACCUAUCUUUUUUUUUCCCUCAAUAUAAAAUAAGUUUUCUGAAUUCUGUUGAGAAAAUUGUGCAUGUGUGCUAGUAUAGACUCGUGAUAGUAUAGACUCAGGCUAGCAUAGGCAAAAAAAUCCAAAGAAUGCUGUAAAGAAAGGUUCACAUGGGAAAAAAAGCCCUGAAUUUUGAAGUCCCUAGGUUUGGAGAAAAAAGACAUUUGUAUGUUGAAUGAGAAAUAAACAACAGCAGGAAUAAAUGAUUCAGGAUUUAAUUGCAGGAUUGGAAUUAUUGUUAAUUCUGCUACCCAAAAAAUAAACCUGUAAUUAAAGGUGAAUACGAUUCAUUGCUGUCAAUUACCAUCCCAAGCCACUGAGAAUGAAGGAAGGCAAGGCACAGCUCAUGCUGUGGUUGACACUCUGGCAGCCCUGUCCCCUGGCCCUGGCUGGAACUUCCCAUACCGUGUAAAUAAUGGUAUAAUCAAAUAACCUUUGUGAUGGGAGCUUUAAGGGUGAACAUUAUAAUUGGAGCUGCUUUCAAAACAGGUAGUUCUGCUCCUUUAGAGGUGUGGCUGGAGUGACUACUGACUUUUUUAAGUUCCUUUGCUGCUGUAUGAGGCUGCAUCAGUGCUCCCUUGUGGCACUACUGCCAUAAUUUUCAUUUUUUAACUUUAAUUUUUAUCUUUCAAAAAAAAAGAGUUUGUUCACUAAACCGAAGAAUGUGUCUUCCAGAUGAUUAGACUUCAAAUUAGGACAAUGGCAAAUGUGCACUACAUCCAAAAAGUGCUUCUGAUUUCAGUGAGUAAAUUGAACAGAAUACAGUUCUGUAGACGAAUUAACACUGACAAUAUACAAGAUAUUUAAUGUUCUGCUUCAGAAUUUCUGGAGUUUAGACACAGUCACAGGUCAUCCAAAACCACAGAGUGAGCAAGGACAGUAAUUUAGUCUAAGUGUUGAGAUCUGGGACCUCUUAUAUGUGUCCUGUGCUUGGAUAUUGGGACAACUUUUUGUCCCUCUAUAAUCCCUUGUAAUAUUUACCAAGUGAGCAAAUGACAGAAAACCUACAGUGAGUUUGUAAAGCUGGAUAUCUGAAAGAAUAAACAAUCCCGUAGCUGUACUCUGAAGCUAUGCAGGGACUGUCUAAUACCUGCAGCUCCACAGAUCCCUAUGCACGUUGUUAUUGACAAUAUUGUAUAUUGAUGGAAAUAACUGAGAUUAUAAACAUCAAAGCAUACUGAGCCACUUUAAAAAUCAGUUUCCAGUCUGGAAUAACACCGUGAUUGGAGAAUCUAUAUCCACAAGUAGUCAUACAAGAGAUAGAAGAUACAAUAUUUUGGAUGAUACAUUCCCUCUCCCUCUGCUUCAUCUCCAUGAAAAGAGGAUCUGAAAAAAAGGUGAUCAAUAAACUCACAGAAAUACAAUCAACAUUUCUCUUUUAUAUUAAGGUAUAGUGAAUGUCCCGUGAUUGGCCUUUAAGGCAUUUUGCAAAGGGCAGAAAGCAUAAAAAAACCUGUGCUAACUAAAUUUUGGUAGCUUUGAGCUUUGCUUUGUUAGAGAUUUCCUAGGCUUGUAAGCACAUCUGAAUCGCACAGGCCAAUUAAUUCUGCUCGGCCAAUUUCUCUCCUCGGUGCUUUCAUCUCAGUUUAUUGGUUCGUGGUUGACUUAAACCUACUUUGAUUAAUUUGUGAGCUAAUCGUUAGCCUUCCCUGGUAAAGGUGUAUUUCUACUAACUAGCCCCUUUUUUUCAACUCUAUGUACUAUGCAAUCACACCUCCUUCCAAAGGUGACCUGAAUUUGUGUUUCGCACUGGCCUGCCUUGGAGAGAGCAGUUCAGAGCGCAGUGGAUAAACACUGCACGGCACAUGCUGCUCCGUGUUUUCAUCACUCCAUUAGAUCUGUUGCUUCAUAUUUGUAAAUUUGAAAUCAGUAAGAUUUUUUCAAUAUUUCAGUGUCUUACAUAAAUAUGCCUUAGUGAGAACCACCUAAUUCCAAAAUGAAGACAGCAAGUAACAUGCUCAAUCAUUUGGAAAGAGCAAUUUGUUAAAGAGAGCAGAGCAUUUGCAUUACUUUCGGUCCAUCUUUAUUGCUUCCAGAAGGCAACACUCUCAGGAAAGUUUUCAUGGCCAGAUGUUCAGCUUUUCCAGCUGUUGAAAUAUUUUUGGAAGGACCAUCAGUCAAGACAAAAUUACGAGUCACCGGGGAUACACACUGACCUUUGCAGGAAGAGGGUGGUUUGGCUCGCAGACCAGCCUUCCUGGCUAAAAGUCUGCUAGGAGGUGAAUUCUGUGACAUCUCUAAUUGGACCUCAUUAUUCAAUCUAAUGGCCUUGCUCAAGUCCGGGUAUUACCCUGGAGUGCAGGACUACAGAAUCCUAGCCUGGCAAGGCCUGAUUAUUUUCAAGCCUAGCAAAGCAGCAACUAAUUUAUGUACUGAUCGUUAAUGUGUGAUUAACAUCACCUACUGAUUGCUAUUUCCUAACAAAUUGAUUGUGAUGGCCUGGCUGGCACCAAGAAGCAUCUUAUACCACAAAUGCAAUGCAAGAGGUCUCUGAAUGUGAGCUGCAAUGCCAAAACCCAGUCCAGCAUGAUGGUAUUCUUAUGACAACUUGUGAAUGGAGGGGAAGCCAGCUCUGGGAGUCCCCUUUGCUGCCUUAAAGCAGGCAUCCAGCACUGACUGAAAUCUCACCUGCCCUUGCUUUGCUGCUCCAGCAGUAGGAAGAGGUUUCCUAGAAGUCAUAUGUCACAUCUGCCAGGCCCAUGCAGGUGUCCUGGGUGCUUGAAAGCCUUUUGAAUGGCACUAGAUACUCACAUGUGGGCAGCUGAACCUGCUCAUGGUGGGCAGCCAGCUGAUCAAAGCUGGCCGUGGGCUAGUGAGAGGAUUCAACUAUGUGAGCACAGGUUUCUAAUUCUGCUGUAUAAGACCCUGAAGGUCCUCUGUUACAGCCAUUGGCCCCAUCAGGAGGUCACUGCACCCUGGGUGUCCUAGAUGGCAACUCCUUCCUGCAGGCAAUUGAACCGAAUUGUCCAUCUCUCCUACCUGGAAAGACAGCCUGGACACCCAGUGCUCACGCAGGCUCCUGCAUACUCACACCCUCAGGCAGGUUCCUUCAUCUGGAGUUGAAUCUUAGUCCUGGUUUUCCAAAAGCAAGUUAUCUUCAGUGUUUCCAAACAGUAAUGUCUUUGGUCUGCUUCUCAGACUGAGCCAAAUUAGAAUGAGGCACAAGGGGUUCUGCUAAGGAGCUGUGACUUUACCUAGCCAGGCAUUUACUUAGCCAUUGUUAAACAUAUCAGUAUGUAAUGGAAAACUGCAACCUUAUGGGGGCAAUGUACAAAGUCACACCCGCCUGAUUGUAAAAUCAUUAAUUAUUUUAUUGUUUUUUGCCACCUUUUUUGAGGUGGAAAGUAACAGGCAUUUUUCCACUUAGAAGAAAUCACACAUUAGAUUUAUACUGAAAUAGAACAUUUGAUAAUUGAUUAAAAUCAUCACUGCUUUUAAGUAUUUUUUCAUUCAGUUGUAAUACUAAGGUGAAGAAAGCAUCCAGCAAAGUUAGAUAAAGCUCUCACAAUCAGCAUAAAUCGGCCUAAGCAAAGGCUGACCCCAAAAGACCUGAUUCCAGCUGCUUGUGCCCUCUUGUUCCAGCAGCAGUGUCUCUGCAACUGCUGGAUGAACUAAGUCAGAGAAUUAUCAGCUGAAAUGGAGUUUUGCUGGGUGUUAUACCUGGUUAAUUCUCAGCCAGAUGUGGCUCAGCCAGGGACUUCACAGACUCUAAUGCUGCCACAUGAGAGACAUAGUGAAUAUGGAUCAGCUUAAACCUAUUAUGAAACCGCAAUCUAGAAAAAUAUCUAACAAUUUUAGAAUUCAUGGUCUGGUGCAAUAAGUGCAUUUUGCAACAUUUUGACUAGCUGAAAACUAUUAAUAGCUUAAAUGCUAAAGCCUUUGUUUUAUCCGCAAAGCAGCCUUACAGCAGUCACUCUUGCAUGCUGAUCUUGCAAGUCUAACAGUCUUUUCCCCACUGCUGAGUGAGUCCCAGAUGGUUCAUAUAGCUAUUUGUCCUACAUACUUAUAAGGAUCCGUUAUCUGGGUAGCUGACUCGUGCAGCAAAAGAUUUUCCAGUCAACAAUAUUUCCUUUCAGUGCUCUGUGCUAUGAUUUUCAUGUAUGCAUGCAAUCUUUUAAUUGAUGUAUUCAUUAUUUAUUAUGGAGUCAUUCCUUUGGAAAAGGCCUCAUUGCAAAAAAAAGAGUAUGUUUAAUGCUGCAAUCAGAACAUAGUGAGAAUUGAGGUCGUUCCACUGCUGCAGGGCCAGAAACUUCGCAGCUGAGAUUGCCAUAAACUGCACCUGCCUGGUUCACUUUUGGAUGUUUAUGCCAGAGAUGCUAAUCUUGCAGAUCCAAAAAGCAGGCUGUGGACCUGAUGAAAAAAGUCAGGAGAUGUCUGAUAGUUUGGAGGGUAGGGCAAGGCUGCAAGAAAAGAUUAUGUUUGCACUGAGUAAAAAGUAGAGCUUUUUUUUUUUAAGCACUCCAGCAGUUCUUGCAGUUGAUAGCCUUGUCUUUCAAGUGUCUUUUGGAAAGACCAGUGAGAAUGGUAGGAUACAUUUUGCCAAAGCAGGAGUGACUGCUCUCUUUAAGAAAUAAUCCUGCAAAGCCACGAGUCAUCAGUUUUCCCUUCCAAAGAAGCAGGCAGUAGAAACUGUAACUGCAGAACAGGAUGGCAGGCAGUGGUGGCAGCAUGGUGGCACCUUGCCAUUUGCCCUUUCACCCUAUCCACUGCCUGCACACCCCCCAGGCUCUGCUGGGCCCCACCACGGGGAGCAUCAGCCCUUUGUGAGCAGGGGGAGGCUAAUGGAAAAAGAGGGGAGAUGAGACGUUCCUCUUUGGGGCCUAGAAGCAACUAUGUGGGAUGGAGAGACAAGUGAUCAUCUCUGUGCAACUCUGCACUGUGGUGUUUUAGGUGAGGGCAUACAAGGGUGGCCGGGGUGGCCUCUCUGGCACAUGGAGUCUGCUCCAUGGCUGGAGGAAUGUUCUUCUCCAGCAACCCAGCUCACCUCACCUCAUUGCCCUAAAACGUGAGGGGAAAAGUGAUGGUGAGCAGUGGGUAAGGUGUUGCUUGGGGAGCUCUGCUCCCACUAGCAGGCAAUCUAAGCUGCCCUAAGCUGGGUAGUGUCUCCUUGCAGAUCUCUUUUUCCACUCCACUUGCACAAAGCAAAGGUAGGGUGCCUGUCAUCUGCCUACAUAGCUUGUCUCCAAGGGCUCCUCAUUCUCAAAAUAAUAAGCCUUAGAUUUGAUGUUUUCACACUGGUUCAGGAGCACUUUGAAACUGUGAGCAACUUGUAAAGGAAGGAUAGCAGUGUGCCCAGACCACUUUUCAUCAAGGAUUAUGUUACAUGGGUGGGUAUAAACCCAGCCAGACUACCUCUGCCUGCCAGCACAGGACUAGACACCCCAUUGGCAUGACAUUGCCCCACAUGAAACACAGCCCUGAUGUGUGCUACAGCAGCUUUACAACUUCUUGCCUGCAACUGGCUCACAUAUCUGGCCUGGCUGGACAAGGGCCCAGAUGCGCCCAGAACCAACACAUGCAUGGACUUCAGGCUCCAUGGAACGAGCAUCGUAUUUUUGUCCAAUGCAUCUGAAGCACAUAUAGGACACCCAACUGUUCAAGCCUUGAGUUGCUGUGUGUUAAAGUAACACAAAAUGUAGUAAACAACCUCCGUGUAGGGUAAACAAACUAGGUAGCACUGCUGAAAUUAAGUCUGGUUUCUGUGUUGCCCUGUUCCUUUUAGAGUAAUUUUCACCUUGACAAAGGGGAGCUCAGCUAUCAUUUGGAUAUGUAGCACAGCUGUUUUCCACUGCCUGAAUCACAGAAACCUGUAUCACCCCGUACAGAUGUUUAUAAACAGGCACCAUGACCCCUCAUCAUGUGCAAAAGCCAUGGGCUCAGCCAGUGCAAGAACAUUAUAAGGAAAAGAUGUCACUGCAGCAGAAGCAACAGCUGCUAAACAAUGUUUUUUACUUCUCCUUUUCUGAGCAUAUUCACUGUUUGCUGAACUUUAUACCAGCUCUCAGAGUACUGGCAGGUUUUCUUCCUUUGCAUGCCUUUGAAUUAUACAGGAAUUCUGAACUCCCUCUCAAAUCCAUUUAAACACUCUAUUAGCACAGUGCUUCUGCUUAGACUAGUUUCUUGUGAAUAAACACAAGACCAACAACAAAUGUUGAAAAUUUGCUUUGCCCUGGCCCCAACAGUUACACAGUCACUUGGUGCCUGCCUUCAUAAAUCAGCUUACAGUCCAGCCGUGACGAGCUUCUUUAAAAUACCCUUUUAUUACUUCACAGGGCAUUAGCUUUUUGCCAUCACAGACUCAAAACAAGCCUGUGCUUCCUGGAACUGCUUGGACUCAAUCCCCUCUUCUACUUCCAAAACAAAGACUUGUUUUAAAAAACACUGUGCUAGUUCAGACUGCAGCACUACCAAGGACAAGCAGAUGAUAGAGGAGAAAAGGCAUGAAGCAGCUGAGCAAAGAUGAGGGUAGCAGAGGGACAUAAUCUAGUUCUUAAGCUGGAAGAAAGACAACCUACCCAGAAAUCCCAGGUUAGGAGUCCUGUAGUCCUCCAGGUAGUCCUCAGUGGUUGCCAGUAAUUGCCCAUUUUGGAAAAAAGGUACCGUUCUCAAAGAAAUCCUGGCAAUGUUUGUUGUGUUGGUGUGUGCAAAAUGCACCUGGAAGGAGAUACGCUUUUGGCAACAAGGUGCCAAAACAGUCCUAGACUAGUUCUGAAGACCACUAGGUGCUUUAUUUUCAUCAUUUGAGGGGAGACCUUAUUGCUCUCUAGAACUACCUGAAAGGAGGUUGUAGCAUGGAGGGUGUUGGUCUCUUUUCUCAGGUAGGAAGUGUUAAGACGAGGAAAUGGCCUCAGGUUGCACCAGGGGAGGUUUGGACUGUUUUGUCAAACUCCUCAUGCAGUGUUUGGGAAAUACUGAAAAAAAAAGACUGGUUCAACACAUACUGAUGGCAUUAGGCCAAAAAGACCAUCCUAAAUCUAAUGUUUGCAGGGAGUUAAUUUUACUGGAUUUAUUCAAUUGAAUUGAAUUUAAAAUGCUCUGGUAAGAAUCUGCCUAUGAGACACAAUGGAGUCAAUAGCAAUUCUAGCAACUCCUCCUGUAGAGGAGGCUUCUGGCAGCAGCUUGGAUCAAUGUGUCAGAGUACUUUUGAUGUGCACAGAUUUUGGUUUCUCUCUUUUCUAAAUUGGAUGAGGACUGGAAGACUGAAGUAUCUGCAUUCAGUCAUCUGCAUAGAAGCUGGGUGUCUAAGGUCUCCAUAAUGGAGAUCUUGUCAAUACAGCCAGUACCAUUCCAUGCCAUUAAGAGUCUAGUUCUCUGCAAACCAUAUUAUUUUCUAGAAUAUUUUGUCUGAAUUGGAAAGUUAAACAACCUUGGGCAUGUCUGGGUUGCUGAUAGGUGCUGUGUGCCAGAGCAGGUGCUCUGGUGUGUUCUUCCAUAUCUCCAUGUACUGCACUGGGACAUCCUGUGUCGUAUCUGCCACCUCAUUGUUGAUGUCUCAGAUUCCUUGUAGCAUCUCAGGUAACAUGAGAAGUCUCUGUGCAGGCAAUUGAAACACCCUCUGAGCUCAUAUUUCAACAUCUCUAUGCAAACACUUCAGCAAAAAUACUCCACUCUGAAUCUGAAUCUGAAUCAUAGUUGACAGUAGUCUUACUGCUGAUAUUGCAACUCUAUGAAGCAACUGUUUUACCAAAAGUGUCCUGGGCCCCUACCAGGCCCCCUUGGCCACCUCUCUUCCUCCUGCAGCUCUACCACAGUUGUGCUGACAGCAUUUUCUGAAAAUGUCUGCACACAGCAUCCCUCCAAAAGGGAAUUUUCCAAGACAAAGAGGAAACCACAGUAAGAAGAGCUGCCCAGUGCUGUUCAGAAGAUAAGCAGGUAUAAUUAGUGGGAUAUCCUCUUCCCUCAUCCUACUGAUUCAUACUGCUGGGGACAGUUUCAUUCAAUGAAAUUAAACAAACAAACAAACAAACAAACAAACGUAUAAGGAUAAGAACCAUUCCAAAUAAGGAAGAUGUUGAAUAGUAACAUUCCUGAAAGAUUUCAGUUGAAUGUUAGGUGAAACUAGAUAAAACGCCAGCACCAGACAGCAGGUAUAAACAUGAAUGGGAUUGAGUCAAGUUGCCAGCUUUCUAGUACAUUUAUAAAUGUGAAGGAUUGAUAGACAAACAUCAAAUCACCAGGUUUUUAUCAACUACCACUUAGACUCACCACGACACCUUUUUUUCUUUUUUUCUGAAAACGUUAUUGAAAGUCCUGUUGAAACACAUUUCUGAGGAUGUGCUGCCAUCCACCUCCUGAAGUUUCACAGGCAACAGGUGGACUGUGGCUUGAGACCAGUGAUGCCAGCAGGCUCAGUCCCUGUGAGUGGUUGAAGUGAGGAUGUCUCAGCACCCACAGAAGGUGAGCACUGCUCACUACCUGCACUGGGGAGGGUGAGGCCAUGGGGCAGUGUCACUCCUCCCCCUGCUCUAUGAAGGCAGGCAAGUGCACCAAAAAGUCCAGGCAGAUGUUGCACCCCUAUGAGUCACAUCACACUGACACUUGUAUCCUCUGUGUAAAGCAAUGUGGGCAGGAAUGCCUCCUCUACUGAAACACACAAAUACCUGCAUUAACACCACCUUCUUCAGAAUAUUUUCUGUUUAGUUUUGUUUUCAUUGAUUUAAAAUGCAGAAAAAGGAAAGCAAAGUAGAUCUUUUCUAAACAACUGUCCAGAUGAAGCAAGUAAAAAAAUAAAAUAUAAUUAAACCAAGCUAUGGCUUGUCAUUCAGAAUGAUGCCAAAUAUAUAAUUACUGUCAUAUGUAACUGUUUUUUGUAGCUUGAAUAAAAUUAAAGACAAAAUAAAAUACUUGCCUCAUUGUUUCUUUCUGAUUCACUGCCUACAAACCUGUAGUGCUUGAAGAGGAUGUCAAAACAAAAGCUGGAUGGGGACUUUUCAAUUAAAUGUUUUUCACCAGAAAAUGCUGUUUCAUCGAAACCAAAACUUUUCAAGGAAAUCUAUAUCUGUAGUUGAAACUUUUGUUAGAAAGGUUUUGGGGUUCAGAAUUAUAUUUCUGAUUAAAAGAAGAAACAGACAGAUAGUAUUAACACACAAGACCAAGCAUCUCCUGAGUUUGAUUCCCUUUGCUAUGUGAGUGAAUGAAUCGCUUGCCUUACCAAACACUUUAUUUUCCCUCAUGUAUUUUUGUGAUAAAUUUCAACAAUCUUUUUGAUUAUCAGUGUAACUAAAACAACUGUGGAAAUCUCAAGAAGUUUUGCAAGCUGGAGUUCUCAUUUCUAGCCAGGCCAUCUAAUAGCCAAAUGUGUGAGUCUUCUAGGGAUAUCUGUUCAACUUCAAUUCCAGAAAGCUUUAAGUCUAUGAGAGAUUAAAAUAAAAGCAUAAACCAGAGAAAUUUCCACAAGGAACACCAGCUAUAAGUUCUUGGAACAGGUUCAUGUGACUGAAAGAGUGGCUAAACACUGUUGUCCUUCAUUUUUUGGAAAUGUCCAAAACUUACCUUCAUCAAGUAGUUACCCAAUGGCUGGUUUUGGGCAGGUAGCCCAAGCUGAUCUCUUCAAGGCAUUCAAGGAUAGAGGUAUACCAGACUGGGGAGGCAGACAGUAGCCAUUGUAGCACUCAAGUUAUCAGCAAGCAGACUUGGGGGGAUCUUCCUGAGCCCAGGAAGAAAGCAUCACUGAUGAGAACUUGGUCUUCCAGUCACUAGAGCCUGUGGCCCUUAGCAGUGAAAGGUGCCCAUCACCACUGUGUUAAUUUUAAAAGUGUUUGGAGUUGCACUUGUCUGUGCAUCUUCCCUGGUUAGCUUUGUCAGUUGUGCUUCCUGUGUUUUUUCUUCCUAAAGAAAUAAAAUUAAAAGUCACAUCCAGCAAAAGCAGGAGGUUUAAGAUACCAAAGACCUUAAGCCAGUUACUUGUAGUUUCAUGAUCUGACAAAACUCUUUUCCCAGACCAGGUAUCCUGACUUGGGAAAUGCUGUGACUGUGUUGAUACAAACCUUGAAGAACACUGGAGAACAAUUCUGAUAUUCACACACACGGUGAUAUUUUUGGGAAAUUCACCGUCUUUGUCCAUUAUCAAAACUACAGAGCUCUGUUAAUCUUCAGCUGAAUUUCUCUGCAUUUGUAAGGGAGUUGCACUUUCUACAGUGAAGGUGACAAAGUUUGACCCAACAUUCCUAUGUUGCCUUUGGUCAGCUCUGGCAUAAGACAAACAAAAUGACAUAUCUCUGCAGGACUCAGCUGAUGAGGGUUCUACAUCCAGGAAAUUAACUGUCAGUUUAAUGCCAGUCCCUUACUGCUUGCCAGUGACAGUAGGCAGGUAAGUAGAACAUCAUGAUCGAUUAUCACAAUGGCUGGUGAUAGACUGGAGAGACCUAACAUUGACAUCUGACAUGAGACCCUUAUCCAUCAUGGCUCUUACUGCUGUCUUCUGAUUAUGAGGGGGCUGAAUUAUUGAGCAGACCUAAUUCAUGGCAAGCUGCCACUCGCAUUUCUGGGAAGGGCGAAUGUAAUAAGAAACAAAUGCCUCAACUACAAUUUUGUAUUGUCUCCAAGCCUCUCCCAUUGUGCUUCCCUGCUGGGUAAAAAAAGGCAAGGAAGGAGGUUGAACUGCAUGCUGACUGGCUUUGCAUGGCAGUGACAGGUAUUCAGAGGCAGUAAGACUGUCUGUCACCAAAGAACCAGCACCAAAAAAAAUGUUGAGACAGUGGGAAUGCAGCACCUUUGAAAAGGAGAAGGCUCACUUAAAAGUUUGGCAGGAUCAAACCCUCUAUUAUAGUUCUCUCUUCACCCCCCAAAACUCUCAGACAAAGAACAUGAACUUCUGAGACUGUAACUGAAUAUAAAAUAAUCAGCAAAGUCACGCUUCACCCACAUAAUUUAUUUGGAUGUAGAAACUGGCACUUGCCCCACCUAUGUUCACAGUCCAACUUCUCUGCCACAGAGAGACAGGAUCCAUGAUUUUCAGUCCAAGGGUAUUUCUGACAUUGCAAAAUUGAUUUUCACUGCAAAAUCCAAAAUAAAAGUCCAGUGUUUUAAGGUCUCCCUCCUAGAGGAGCACGACUUGAUGGCAAGACAAGGUGGAUAUGGUGAUGCUGCUGGUGGAGGAUGGAGGAUGGAGCUGCCCAUGGGACACGGAGCAGCCCUUGCCUCCAGCUCCCGGCCACACACCAGGCACUGCCACCAUGCCAGGGACCCCAGGGCGGAUGGGACUGCAAAUUCAGUGCCAGGGAAGGACGUGCCAGGAAAGCACAGCCCUGCUGCAGCCUCCCACAGCCUAGCCCCUGACUUCUGGGUCUUUUCCAGUUAAAUUAAUCAAGUGUGAUCAGGAGUAAAUGCAGUCAAAUAACUGAUUCAUAAAUGUUCACCUGAUCUUUUAAGAGAGGGUGAAGUAAAACUCUGUCCAUCAAAUUUGUGUAAGUCAACUGCCAAUGGGGAAACACUAUCUCUGAGUGAGCAUCAAAAGAAAUAAUCGUCUCAAUUAUUACUUCCAAAAAAAUAUGACUGCAUUCUGGUUCCUCUUUAUGGAAAGUGCCUAUAAAUUUGCUUUGCAUAAGAAAGGAAGCAAUAAUAAAACCAUCUACACACUAUGAUGAAUAUUUUUGUAUUUUAAAAGUUCCUAAUAGAAAAUCCUCUUUCCUUCCAUUCAAAGAUGUUUUCAAUUAUCUUCAAAAGUGAGAUCCCUAAACAGUUCACAACUUUGCCCUCAGCAAUGCUGAAACAGUACCAUUAAAAUCAAUGAGAUUACACAUGUUCAAAUGAUGGCAGAACAUAGCCAUGCAUGUUUAUUGCAAAUGCAUUUGUAAAACGUACUCCAAAGGACAAAAGGUGCAUAAAUAAAUGUCUUGUCUGUAAAUAUCUGCAUUUUUGCUGAACAGAUGUGUGUGGUUUUAAUAAAUUCCUGUAAACAGAAGUGGAUUUCUGUUUUUUUCCUUCACAUGACCUUCCAUACUUGGCAAAUUUGCCUAGCCAGGCCUUAUGUCCCAGUCCUCCACCUGUAACUUCAGCAAAAUAUAGGAAGAAAACUCCUGUAAAAUUUCAGUGAUACAACUAUCACAUUAACUGUGUAUAUGUUUCUAUUUUGAGAAGAAAAGGCUUUUUGUAUUUUGAUUAAUUGUCUUUGACAGACUAAUCUAGGAGCAUGAAUAGGUUGUAUCAUAGACUAUUAACUCGGUAGCAGUCCCAGUGCUGGGAGUGUUUCUAGGGAGGCAGAUCUCCUUUUGAUCCUACCAGACCUUAAUGAUACUGUUUGUAUUAAUAUUAGCAGUGGCAUUUUUAAAAAUUCAGUAUUAAUUGAAUCUUGAUUUCUUCAUUAUUUUCCACAUACUGUGCUUUUCCAUGAGAACCACAACGCAUGCCAACAAAUGCCUAGAGAAAUAUCUUCAUCUUGUAAGCUACAAAAUAGAUUCUAUUAUCCAGUUAAUUUAUGGCAGCAAUUUGGAAUUCUGCGGAGCCGGACACAGCUGACUGGCAAUGAGUGCAUUGUUAUUAAAUAUGAGCAACGUGUGACAUUAAUCUCAAAUUAAUUUUUGAGAGAAAAUAUAUGCAAAUUGCAAUAACCUAUAAUAAAGAAGUGAAAGAAAAUGGUGCAAUACAUAGUCACAAAAAUAAAUUUCUGUAACAGAUUUAUACACAUCACUUGGUUGUUCCUAAUUUUAUUCAGUGAUCGAUUGAAGAAGAGACCAGUCAAGAGACCUGAGUAUUGGAUGUACCAAGGCUGAAGUUCUUUGCUUGGAGCUGACCGGAGAGGCUGGAUAACCCUGAUGAUAACUCCAUUUAUCCAGCUUCAGAAACACCUUCAAAGAGCUGAGGAAGCAACAGCAGUGGAGCAGACCUGCACCCUAUGAGAUGCUCUGCAUUCUCUGCAGAGCUGUGUGCAUCAAAAGCCACUCACAUACCCCUAGAGGUAUCAAGCACUGAAGCCAGAGGAAGUGAAGGCACUGAAAACCUCAGCAAAUGAGGCCCAAAGAGCAUCAUUAUAGAGAAAGCAUGUGUGCACACAUUGAGCAGGAUGAUAAACUGCGGUGAGCAUAGGAGUUGCCACUCAGCACUGACCACCUUCCAGCCCUGUGCAAAAGAGCCGUCUUGUGUUUGUUCCAAGAUGCCUAGGGAGGGAAUUAAAUCCACAGCUGACCUCCAGCUUUGUGCAUACUGAAAUCCAUGACGGCAGCUUUGCCUUAUGCUGCAUUUGAAGAACCAUUUGAAGAUUAAGUCAUUCUUGGAGUAGUGUGGGGACCUUCUGCCACCUUGUACCUCUCUCUUUCAUGUAUUUCCUCUCCUGCAUACCCCAUCAGGGCAGGACACAACCACUUCUGUCUUUGAAGAGCAACCAGCACAGGGGGACAUGAGACAGUCCUAGGGCUCCUCUGGCUGUUGCCGUCAGUCAAAUAACUAAUUUGUACAACAUACUCUUACGAUUUAUCUGAUUUCAGAAGACAGAUUGGACGUAUGGUGUUAGGAAAAGCCUUGGGCAGGACAGAAUAAGCCUAAUCCUCAGUGCCUCACUGUAUGGUGAGGCCUUGGAGAGCCAAGCCAGCGGGUGCAGCAGUCUGAAGGCACUUCCUGUUUUUUAUACAGGUUUCCCCCCAUGUUUUGCAGAGAAAGUCUGGGGUUUUUUUUUACGAAAUGAGAUACAGACAGAAGUGUUAUUAACUCAAACUGCAAGUCCUCGUUUUUAAAAGGAUCUUCCCGAGAAACAGACAAGCACUGAAUCAAACAGAAAGAGAAAAAAAAAAUAAGCCUAAAUUUUCUCCAUGGCCCUGAGAACAAGUGACAGAAAUCACCAGUUCCUGCUGAAGGUGAGCAGAAUUGAUUUGCAACCAGGAGAAACUGCUUAUCUGUGCAUGAAAGGGUCGAUCCUGCUGUGCUGACUCAGGCAAGUCUGCUGCUUAAACAUGCAGCCUGGCACUUCAGACGAGGCAUUUUCCCAAUGCUCAAGCUCCCUGUUCAAAAUCAGAGCAAUGACUGUACCCUGCACUUACCAACACAUGUGCACGUGUGCACAUCUCCAUAGCAGGGCAGAAGUGGGCUUCUCCCAGACAUUGGACAGCUGCACACUGGGUGGUCUGACUUUUUAAAGGCGUAUGUCUGCAGUCGUAUUUCACAGAAUCACAGAAUCACAGAAUCACAGAAUCGACUGGGUUGGCAAAGACCUCAGAUAUCACCGAGUACAACCCUUGGUCCAACUCUAGUCCGCUUACUAGAUCAUGGCACUAAGUGCCAUGUCCAAUCUCAGUUUAAAAACCUCCAGGGAUGGCGAGUCCACCACCUCCCUGGGCAGGCCAUUCCAAUGCCUGACCACUCUCUCUGUAAAGAAUUUCUUUCUAAUAUCCAGCCUAAAUUUCCCCUGGCAGAGUUUAAGCCCAUGCCCCCUUGUCCUAUUGCUAACUGCCUGGGAGAAGAGACCAAUCCCCACCUGGCUAUAACUUCCCUUCAGGUAGUUAUAGAGUCUGAUGAGGUCACCACUAAGCCUCCUCUUCUCUAGACUAAACAACCCCAGCUCCCUCAGCCUCUCCCCAUAGGUCUUAUGUUCAAGUCCCUUCACCAGUCGUGUUGCUCUUCUCUGGACCCGCUCCAGCACUUCAAUGUCUUUCCUGAACUGAGGGGCCCAGAACUGAACACAAUACUCCAGGUGUGGCCUCACCAAUGCAGAGUACAGGGGAAGGAUCACUUCCCUUGUCCUGCUGACCACGCUGGUUUUGAUACAGGACAGGAUACCGUUGGCCUUCUUGACCACCUGGGCACACUGAUGGCUCAUGUUGAGCUUCCUGUCAAUUAGUAACCCCAGGUCCCUUUCUGUCUGACUGCUCUCCAGCCAACUUGCGCCCAGCCUGUAGCGCUGCAGGGGGUUGUUGUGACCAAAGUGCAGCACCCAGCACUUGGCCUUAUUGAACUUCAUCCCACUGAAAUCAGCCCAUUUUUCCAGUCUAUCCAGAUCCCUCUGCAGAGCCCUCCUGACUUCCAGCAGGUCGACACUCCCUCCCAACUUGGUGUCAUCAGCAAAUUUGCUGAUGAUGGUCUCAAUCCCCUCAUCUAAACCAUCAAUAAAGAUGUUAAACAGGACUGGACCCAACACUGACCCCUGGGGAACACCACCAGUGACUGCAGAAUUCAAAUAUAGCUGCUGGGCUUUACAAAGCUGUCUGAAAAAUCUAAGUCAGCCAUUUCACGGUUCCCACAGGCACCAGGGCAGCUCCCUCUGAGCAGAGUUGAAUCAUAUGCUACAGGCGGCCCUCAAAAUUGUAUCCCAUGAUAAAAAUUGGUCUUCCAGAAUUUCAGAAAUCGGGGUCAGGAGGCAGAAAAAUAAUUUUUCCUGAAGCAAAGAGACUGCUAGCGGGACCCCACAGAGGUUUACUGGAACUCACCCUGUUUCUGAAAUGCAGAGUGACCUGGAGACAGGCGGGGAUAGUGGGUGACAAAAGUUGCAGAUGACACCAAAUUAUUUAGAAUGCUUGAACCUGAACCUGACUUCCGAGACGUGCAAAAAUAUUUCAUGGUGCUGAAUGACAAAGUAAUAAGCAAAAAAUCUGAGAGGCUGAUAAGAAAUAAAAAAGGCUGAUAAGCACUGAACAGCCUACUUAAGACAAAAAUAUGUACCGGAUUAUGGGCCUGAAUUGCUGCCACUCAGGAAAGUGGCUUUGACCUCACUGUGGAAAGUUCUCUGAACAUUUAUGUCAACAUUCAGGAGCUGUUAAAAAGCGAAUGGAACGUUAAGACUUCUUAAGAAAAGUGUAGAUCAAAAAAUGGUGCAUUUCAUUUUGUCAGUGAAUAAAACCAUGGUACAUGUGAAUCUUAAAUACUUCAUGCAGCUCUGAUAAUGCCAUUUCACAGGGAAAAAAUUAAAAAAAAGGAAAGAGGAUGACUGGAAGCAUCCUACAGAGAUACGGGGUGGCUCCCACUGCUGGAGACCUAAAGCCCCAGAUUCUCCUCAGUCUAGAAAAACUACAGUCAUGACAGAGGCCUGUGGACAUGAGCAGUGUGGAGCAAGAGGUGGGGUUUUUAUCCCUGCCACUUGGUGCUCUGGGAACCACAAAUGUGAAGAUGCUGCUCCAGGGCAAGACAAAUAAAUGGAGAUUUGGUCCUAUAUGUCAUUGCUGGGGUGCAGCUCUGCCUUAGGGAGGUUCCACACUCCUGACUGCUGGAAGCUAGAUGAGAUUCUUCUGCACUUUCCCCAUUUCUGUGCUCUCACACAGGCUUCUGCUGUUGGCAGCAUGAUGCUCCCCAGGUGGAUCAUUGAGCUGACCUCCCCUGACUGUUCUUCCAUUACUCAUUCUUGUGUCGAGCCUACCUGGACGGAGAAAGUUGUCGAGAUUUAUGGAGGUAACCUAAUAAAGUCUAAGAAAACUAAAUACAAAUCUUGCUUGUGCUCUCUUAACCUAAAUGUAUCCGCUGAAGAUAAUCCUGUUUCUUCUAGGAUUCAUCACAUACUUAACAGAUUCGUAGUGAUUUAUUUGCCAUGAUUUAUUCAUGAUCUAAGAAGGAGUUGAUCUAGUCAUUGUUUGCAAACCCAUUAGAGAGGCCUCACUUUGAUGACUUCUUUCUGGCCAAAACUCAAGUUAGCAUAGAGUAUAAAUUAUUAUAUUGUGCCUCAAAGACUUUCUGCUCUGAUGUUUUUCUUUUUUCCUUUCACAGUCUGGAGGGAGGUCAAGACUGUAGCGGUAUGUGAGUGAAGGUGUAACAGUGCAGUCUUUGAUGACUUUAAUAUGUAGUCUCAGUAUUUUUUCCCUAAAUUAUUUUUUGUUAUUACAUUACCUUAUUCAAAAGUUCUUGGAGACCAAUUUACCCUGAUAAAUGGUCAUGGAUAUCUUUAUUCAGAAUGGAAGAGCCAUGAAACACCCUGAAACUUUAGGAGCAUGGAAGUCCUUCACUUCAAGACAUAGGGCAGAAUCUGCCCUGAUUCAUGAAGGUGCAAGAGCCAAGUUCAUCAGCUCCUGCUGAUAACUGCCAGUAUUUUACUCUACAGGCAAUCUGUCUGUCUCUGGACUUGCACUGGGGCAGUGAAACCCAGCCUUGGAUGGAAGUCUUCAUGGGAAAGGUUGUUGAUUGCACAUAUGAUGUCCUCUGAAGGCAACUGGGCUACACAUGGGUGAUCAUCACUGUCUCAUAGAGUGCCAGUUGGUAGGUAAAAUUCUUGCCUACUUAUUUAAUCAGCCUAUUCUUACUAUUGUUUUUCAUUUGAAAUUUGUUUUGCUUAUUUGAAAUAACAGAAUGGGUGCCCAUAAAAUUGCUAUUCUUUUUGUGUUUGAAAGGUACAUAAUUUUUCACCCCCCUCCAUUGCACUAGGGUAGCAUUUUUAAUGCUGCAAGUUUCAAUAAAAUGUAUAAAUAUAGCUGAUAACAAAACAGCUCUGCUUGUUUCAUUUUUUAUUAGUGGUGCUAGGUUAUCCCUACUGAUAUAGACAGAGACACUCAUUGCUCUUUUACACAAAAAUACAGGAAAAAAUAAGUUGAGGAGUAUAAACAGCACUGUCUUCCACAGAUAGAAUCAACGGCUUCCCCAGUGGGGAGCUGUGGUGUGUUUGCCCCACUUUGCCUGUGGGGAAGGGCAGUCUGCCUGUAAAAUCAACAUCAGAUGAAAGUAAGUUUUUUCCCAGUAAAAACACAUUCUGGGCACCGUCCUGUCCAUUUCCUCUGUGUGACUUCAGGAGCAGAAGGCUGUUCAUUGCUGUCAGGAGUGUGGCAUUGCUCAGUGAGGUGUCAGCUCACUGACAGCCACAGAUUUAGUAGAAAGAUCUCUGAAAGACAGCACUUUGGGUUGGGAAGUGACUGGCCUGCUCCAGAAAGUGCUAUUGUCACUUUCUGGUUCCUCACCUUUCUCAGAGGUAGUCAAACUGCAUCCUCUCUGCUAGUACAAGAUCUGUUCCCUUAGAUAGAAUUUUAAAUACAUAUAUAUAUUAUAUACAUAUAUAAAUUACUGCGACCUGCAACCUAUCUGUCUCCCCGGUGGGUAUUGCAUUGGGUUGUAGCAGAGCAAGCAGCAAGGGGACCUCAUAGUGGAAACUACUCCCAUGUGAAAGUGGAUACUGAAAAGUGUACAGUGUCCUCAAUGCAUGCUCCUGGAUUGAUUGUAGAGAGCUAUUUUUGAGAAAGAUUGCUCAUGGCUUUUGGAAUAAUAUACUGUGUAAAAACCAUGCCACGUUUAAACUGGUUAAUGAGUGGAAGAUAUUAUGUAGGGAUGGGGUGAACUCAGCUCAUAUUUUGACACGUGGGUUUAUGCAAAUAGAGCAUGAAGCGUGGUGCAGUACUCGUAACAGUGGACUGGGGCAGGCAGAGGUUUCUCACUUUAACCCUCAUGCUUUCGGGUGUACAAAGUAGCUUCAAGUUCUGCCACUGCAGCUUUAGGAACCAUCUUUCACACCUUCCCACCACUGUACCCACUUGUUACCAAAUGCCUCAGCACCCCUUUCCCGCUCAAGGCCCAGGCAUUAAGCAGAAAGCCUGUUGGGUCGGUGUGGUAACAGCUUACUCAUAGGAAAAUGCCGACAAGCCCAGGAAACAUGUGCAAGGUUGAAAAAUAGAAAGCUGAUUGGAGAGGUGUGAGCAGUCCCCCACGUCACUCCACCUCUUCUCAUCACAGGAUAAGAAAAACGCUUCAGAGAAGAUUGUGUACUCCCAAAGGCUCACUGCAAUGUGCAAAGGAAAGGCUGAUUCAGGAAAUAUUUUUCACCCUCCGCAUGCUGGGGACAGCGGAGCUGGGCAGCCUGGGGAAACACUGAUGUGAACACCAUGGGGGCCAGAGUGAGUGGGUGGAGAAUGCCAGGAGAGGAUCUGUGGUGGUAAAGGUGACAGGUAUGCAUUCCUCUGCCCACAAAUCCGGAGAGGAAAGUCCUUUAGAAAAGCCUUAGGGGAUGUGUUACUCUCAUCAUACCCCCAACCACAAAAUGUUUUGCUAGAAAUACUGCGCAAUGGCUCACUCCCCAUAUGCACUUUUCUCUCAGGUGCUUGCCUAUGUGCCAGUGGGGUGACACAGGGAACCUGUGACAGUCAAAUCAGAAAUGUAUGUCCAUCCCAGCAGGAAAUAGUGGGCUGAAGUGGUGUGGCAAGCUGACAGUCCCAUGAGAGCAGCCAGACUUUUGCUGUGCCAGGCAGGGGAUUCACACUUCUGCAUCCAUGGCACCCACCACAGCAUGAGGUGGCACUGAUGGGAGAGUGAGACCUGACACCCUGGAACACAGGGUAAGAAUGGCCACUGGAGGCCACCAGCCCAACCCAUCGCCAUUGCCAUGCCCAGCCCCAGGCUUGUGUCACAGCCCACUGAGAGUGGGGUUUAAGAGAGGAUCAAGUUGUGCAUAUGUUGGAAUAAAUGUGACUUUCUGUUCCUGAGCACCAAGGUUGUCACCAGUGAGUGCAGGUGGGUGCCCAGGGUCACAGAGCUUGAGCCUCAUCAGCAAAAAAAACAAGUAGCAGCAUCGUGCCACAAGUCCCACCAGCUUCUCAGCAUGUCUCUCGAUACUUGUUAGCCAGAGAGUUUCUGGAAAACAAAACCUGAACUUGAACUGAAGCCAGGAUGUUGUCGUUCUUCUUUCUGUACUUUUGGAAGAGGACUUCUUGUUCUUUUUAUUCAUUGAGGUCCUAAAUGACAUAAAAUUCUAAUCUACUCCAAAAAAAUUAAUUGUACUUUAUAAACUCUAAACAGUGAAUGAAGAAACAGAGAGAGGACAGUAACCCGUUCCACACCUUCAGUGCACGUGUGCUCUUUGCAGGGCCAUAAUUGCUGCCCAGUUCUUCUUGCAGGGUGACAUCUGCCAUGGUGAUUAGGGUAGACCCAUGCUUGGCACCAGGCAGCCUUGCCUCACUGCAGGUUUGCUCCAGAUAAUGAACUCGGCCAGGCUGUUAAGAGAUGCCCUUUCCUACCAAGCCAUCAAGAAUUAAUGGGGAAGAAAUUAGUACUUCCUAGCUAACACUAUAGAAAAAAAUGUUAUUUUCCCAUUUUAUCACUCAUGGCCUCUCUGCUGACUGUAGGGAUAUGAGGGCAGUGCUAAUAUUGGCAUUGAAAAAAAGCUGCUGGGAGUUUUACAAACCAGCAGUGGAAAGAGAAAUGCAUGGUCCUACUUCUCUGUUCCCAGGCUAAGUUUACAUCAAGAGCAGCUUGUAAUGGGGCUGGUUGGGAAUUUUCUCUUGGAAUCCUUUCUCUCCAAAUAUGCGGGGUUUUUUAUAAGCUGUCAGAGAAAUUAAAAUGGAAGCAACAACUGCUCUACCUCACACCUCAGGAGCUGUUUCUGAGCUGGUAUGGCAACCUCUCCCAAGCUCCCUUCCCCAUGGCAGCACAGCAUCCCCAGGUUCUGGGGGUGGGAGGCAGCUCCCUGUGCGCAGGCAGAGCCAGAGGACAUGAAAGCCCUCAGUGGGAAAAGCCGAACCCAGCGCUCAGCUCCCCACAUGGAGAUCUGGCUGCCAGCUCUACCACCUUGCAAUGAGUUUGGGAGGUGGCGUCAAGCACAGGGUUGCCAGCCCCAGCCUGGUGGCAAAAUGGGAAAGAGGCAGGUGCCUCUUUCUCUCCUCACACCAGUGCUGUUCCUGAUGGUUGGCUCCCCAAACGUGUAGCUUUCUGAAUGGGAGUUUAUUGUUUAUGUUUUGGUUUUAUCCCACUUCAGAGAACCUCACAGAAAUGAGAUUUUGAGCUUUCACCAGCUUGAGUGUUUUGUUUUGCAACGUGCCUAGAAAACUGGGGAGGAAAAUACACAUAGCUAUUUUUGUCUUGUUUCAGUUCAGUUUUGCUGUGGAUUUUGAGAAAAAGCUGGGGUCAUUCCCUUCACCCUUAGCUGCUGAUAUGUCAAAGUAACACAGAAAGUCUGUCAGCACUCCUGAAAGUGGGAAGUAGCAGAGAUUUCUGGACUGAGAUUGUUCUCACGACCAUUCCAGUUCCGCUCUGCAGAUUCAACAGAAUGAAGUUCACAUGCAGUUCAGGGAUUUCUUCAAAGUAUUUUUGGAGUGAACCUCUAAAGAUUUUUUCAUAUACUUGCUACUAGGUCUUUAUAGCAGAAGGGGUGUUGGCUGCACAUUUAUCUUAUGUUCUGCAGUUAAACCCACCUUAUGCAGUAGCAUAUCCUCAUCUCAAACUGGAUCCAUGCUCCUGUUUACAAGGAUAUCUAGUUCCAAAGGGUCAGAGACUUAAGGAGGCAAGAACAUGGCAGAUCUCCCAGGCUCAUCUUAAUUAUGUUCCUCAUGACAGUGAGGAUGCUCUGGUCCUGAACAAUCCCUAAGGUAACAGGAGGAAUGGAAAUAUGCAGGUUAUAGGGUUUGGUAUACUCAAGUUCUGGCUGUAUAGGUCUCUUCCUUAUUUUUCUCAGCAUUUGUGAUAAGGAGCUUCCAAGCAGUGACUCUUGCAAAUACCUGUGGAAAGGCUCUUUUCCCAGAAUUGGCAGGGAGAGGGGAGGAGAAACACCUCAAUGAAAAGAAAACCUGGAAAAUACUGAGUGCUGUCAGCCAACUUCAGGUACUUCACAAGCCAAGGAGAAGUGCAGUGUUGUGCACAGCUGUUUUCUCAACAGUUUGUGCUCCCACGCCCAGCCUGUAGCCCAGCAGGCUGGUUGCUGGACCACAUCUGUGACAGAUGACACUGAGAUGCUUCUGGUUUGAUGCUCCUUUUCUUUUCAUAUUCCUUGACACUGAAGAAUCUAUUUUGAACCCUGCAGCAUCUAAGGAAAUGAGCAGGACAAUAAUAGUCAUCUGGCUUUGUAGAAGUUGGAUUAAACUAAGCUUUCAAGUGGACUAUCUCUAAACGUGGCCACAUUAAGAUUUUUACUGAAUCCUUUGCUUAUUCUUCAUGGCAGACACCUCAAUCUCUGUUUGUGAUAACCUGAUACUUCCCCUCAGACAAUCAUUCCUACAGUUUCUCUACAUUUUUCCCAGGUGGGAUGCUUGCCUUGGGAUCUAUGGUUUUGGAUGUUUUGGAAAAUGUGAUUUGGUCAUAUUAAAGAUAAGGUCAGGAAAAAUAUUCCCUCCUCUGCUAUUACAAAAUAAAAAAUCAGUUUUUCUUUGAUGAGUUCUGCUAUCUUUUGAUUUUCAGUGACUUAAGGUCACAAAAUCUCAACCUACAGAAGUCUAUAAGUUUUCUGGGUUUGUUUGUUUGUUUGUAGUUUUUGUUUGGUUUUUUGUUUUGUGUUUGUUUGUUUGUGUGUUUGUUUGUUUGUUUUUAUCUAGGGAGACAUUGCAUUAACAAAAUAUCGGAAAAAAAACCCAAACCCUCAGGGUUUGUAAAGUCCAACAAGCAGACUUUAGAAAUUACCAGGAUUUAGGUUUUCUGUCAGCUUUAUUGGCUACUUUUCUCUCCCUCCUUCUCUCCUCAGCGCAUCAUGCAUAGUGUUGACUUUAAUUACAAGAUAACACACUGUGGGUAUUUUUUCACUCACUGUGGAGUUAUUAAGUAUGUAAUCCCAUAACUAAAGACCAUUUCUUACUCCAUGAGCAUAGAUGGACUGAAGCAUGUGACAGAAAUGACUUUGAUUCUGAAAGUCCUGACGUUUGACUUCAUACCAAUAUACGUUCUCAAGCCUGAAGCUAAAUUCCUUCUGUUAUACAUUCACCAGUUUUGCUUUGUUGCUUCCCAUAACUGUAUUUUUUUUUUAGCAGUUCAGCUCCUCUUAUUUGGAGUUACAGCAGAAUUUAAAUAGCUGAAAGUGUUGCCAGUGGUGCAUCAGGUGUCCUGACUACAAGAAACCUUUCAAGAUCCCAGCUCUGGACAUAAUUAAUGAAUUAUUGAUCUUAAAUUGUAAUAACAUUCAGUUCCUCUUUUGGACAUAAAUAACAGCUAAUUUACCUGAAAAUCUCCUUUCAAUCACACAACUUCUGUGAAAGCUACCUAGUAACUGACUAUUGAUCCUUUCAUUCAGAAAAUUCUGCCCAGAGCUCAAAUGCACAGUAGGCUGUUUAGAACAUGCUUGGUCCUUCAACGGUGACCACAACAUUAGUUAAGAAAAAAAGCUAAUAAGUUGAAAUACUAGAACAAAGAAAACCAACCUUUUCACUAAGUUGUGGACGCUCUACAAAGUAAGACUUGUUAGGAAAUGUAUCCACCUAUCUGGUAGCUAAUUCCAGGAAAUAAACCACACAAAUUCAUUUAUACCCAUGUGACUAAGACAAUACAGUCAUUAGGGAGGAAUCACUCACAGUCACUGUCCGUUGUUCACAUUCAGAGGAAAAGAGGAUUACAGUUGGGUAUCUUUGAUGCACAUUGCCCAAAACACAGGAGGAGUCAACUCUUUUCCAACGGGCACUUAACCCAAAAUGUCUCCCUUUGGGCUUUCUUCUGUGUCACCACAUCCCCUGCUGAGGUGGUGUGUCACAUCCCCCUUCUGGGUGGUUUCUCUUCCUCCCUCCCUCCCUCCCUUCCCAGGCAGUGAUGGUUUUUCAUCCAUCGUGUUCAAGCCAUGAGGGGCUUUGCCUUUCUGCUUGGCUUUGGGAAGUGACUUUUGCCUCUGCUUAGUUUUGGAGAUCAGGUUUACUGCAUUAAGUAGUUUUCCUUUGCAGUGACCUGGGAGAUUUUGCUUGUUUCACCAGGCUGUUAUGAUGGUGUUUAUGCAGCUAAGUACAUUGCUGCAUGCUGGUCCUCCAAGAUGAUUCUUUCUUCAGACACUACCUUUUCAAUGAGCUGUAAAUAUUUUCCUCAUCCUUUUAGGUCUACAUUUUACUGUAGAGUAACUGCUGUCUACAUAUCCAUCUGAUUCCUGUACAUUCAGGAAAACAAUCUGGAUUUAUUUCAACUGUACUAGAGAGUGAAAUAGUGGAUAAGAAUAUUUUGAUCAAUCUUUUUGCUACUUUUCUUUCAUCUUUCUAAAAGUAAGAAGCAUUAUUUCUGGCUUAGGAAAAAAGCCCUAACAAAAGCUCUGGGAUUUGAGGGAGAAACCCAAGCAAACAAACAAACAAGCACCACAGAAAACUUCACGAAAGGAAAACAGUAAGGGAACAGAUAGACAACACCAAAAAAAUUUCAUCACAAGAGGGCAGUGCAUAUUAACAAGUGAGGGGAUAACCCAUGUUUCACAGGAGUCAAAUUGUUUUAUUUUAAAAAUUUCCAAAAGUUUUGCUGUUAGUGCUAAAGAAAAAAAAAAAAAAACCAGAAAAAUCUUAGCACUUGAUAGCAAACAGUGCCUUGUGAAGUUUGUUUUUGUUCACUAGAACUGCAGGAAUCUGUGCCUGAUACUGGGUGUUGUGAUUUUGUAAGAGAAGUGAGAAAGCUCUAGGUGGCACAGGAGCCACUGGUUAUCCCCAUUUUUCUGUUUCCCCGGCAGACAGUGAUGUUAACUGGUGAACAGUCAUUUGCUUGUGUAUCAUAACACUGGCAGAAUGACCACUCUUACAUCAGACCUAUUUAGCCUGGCAACAAAGAAAGAAAUGAAAUUCACCUCUCAGAAGGAGGGUUUUCAAGCACAAGUGUACUGCAGCAAGUUGCCUGCUCCUCAAGUGGCCAAUCUGUGUUUUAAGUCCAAGUGCCUGUUUUCCUUAACGAAAGAUGAAGCUAGUUUUACCUCUGAAAAAUGACAAAAUGCUAGCCAUGGAGAAUUAUAAUGUCAGGAGUUUGGCACUUCCUCUGCAGGUUUACUCCAAAACACUCCAACAGCCACAGACAGAAACCAUUAGUCCUGAAAACCGCAAAUUUGGCUGAGAAGUGUCUCCCUUCGGGAGAGGUAUGAGAGGAGGAGGUGCUGUACAGUGUAGGGGUGUGCUAUAAUGGGUUUCACUGGCCAGCAGGAAGAAAAGCUGAAACAUGUCUUCCCCUGGUUGCUCCUAUGGGUGUGUCCCAUUUGACCAUUCAGGCAACCCUCCAGGAGUCACCAUGGACCCACCAUGAAUGUUUGCUGAACCUCACAUCCAACCAUACCCACACUUCUUCAACACCUGCCUUGGAGAGGAGCAUGCUUUGGAGAAGAGCCCAUAGCUGUGAGUCUUCCACAGUCAGGUUGCUGGAGACAGACAAAACAUCGGAGUCUGAAAGUCCUUCUCUGAAGACAGGAAGACUGGGCCUGACAUUAUGUCUGCCAACAUAAAUGGAGGUGGUGUGAUACAAUUGCAUUACACCAAAGAUUAAAUUUGCACCUCCCUCUCUCUGAUUACUUAACUAUGUGAAUUUGCAAUGUGCAGGAUGAACUAGAUUUUCCUAGAGAUAUAUGGCUUCUUCUUUGCUACACUGUCUCUCUUCAUGUUUUUAGAGGACACAUUAGGAAAGCCAAGUGGUGCCCACUCAGAAGUCACCUCUGUUCAAGUGUGAGGAAACCUGCACAGUAUUUCUGGGGAGAGAAGAGCAGGUUUCAAGGAACUACAGAAAAGCAUACACUAACUUUGCCAGCAGGUGUUUAAGGGUUGGGCAAAUCUGAUUACUGACCUUUUUUAGACAGUUACCUCUAUUUGUCCAGAAAUUGCAAACUCCUAUGAUGAAGAACUCAGAACUCAAGACAGAAGUUUCUGUGAACAGCUGCCACUAUUUCUUACAUUCAUGCAGAAGGCACUGUUACAAGCCAUGAAGCCACUGCCACUGCCAGCCACAUCUGGGACCUGAGAGCCUCAGCUGUGCAGGACUCAAUGAACUGGCCCACUAAAGCCCUUUUGAUCUUGUAUUUUGGAGGUUUUCUUCAUUUGAUUGUGAAACAGGAUGGGUGCAGUACGAAACAGUAUGCUUAUAUCAGCAUGGAACAUCACAGUAUCACAGUAUGUUUGGGAUUGGAAGGGACCUCAAAAGAUCAUCUAGUCCAUUCCCCCUGCUGGAGCAGGAACGCCUAGGUGAGGUCGCACAGGAACAUGUCCAGGCAGGUUUUGAAUGUCUCCAGAGAAGGAGACUCCACAACCUCCCUGGGCAGCCUGUUCCAGUGCUCUGUCACCCUUACUAAGAAGUUUUUUCUCAAAUUUAAGUGGAACCUCUUGUGUUCCAGCUUGAUCCCAUUACCCCUUGUCCUAUCAUUGUUUGCCACUGAGAAGAGCCUGGCUCCAUCCUCAUGGCACUCACCCUUUAUAUAUUUAUAAACAUUAAUAAGGUCACCCCUCAGUCUCCUCUUCUCCAAACUAAAGAGACCCAGCUCCCUCAGCCUUUCUUUAUAAGGGAGGUGCUCCACUCCCUUAAUCAUCUUCGUUGCCCUACGCUGGACUCUCUCCAGCAGUUCCCUGUCCUUCUUGAACUGAGGGGCCCAGAACUGGACACAAUAUUCCAGAUGUGGUCUCACCAGGGUGGAGUAGAGGGGAAGGAGGACCUCUCUCGAUCUACUAGCCACCCCCCUUCUAAUACACCCCAGGAUGCCAUUGGCCUUCCUGGCCACAAGGGCACAGUGCUGGCUCAUGGUCAUCCUGUUGUCCACCAGGACCCUCAGGUCCCUUUCCCCUACACUGCUCUCUAAUAUGUAGUUUCCCAGCCUAUACUGGAACCUGGAACACCCACAGAUUUGCAUCAAGUACCCCAUUUCCUAAUCUGUUUUUCAACAAGAGAACAGAAAAGCAAAAAUGAUGGAAGAUAUAAAGGCUUUUCUGGGAUGAACAAUGCCUCUAUUAAAGAAGGUUGUGUAAGUGAAUUCACAGAGGCAAAAGAAUAUGCAUUCACCACUUCACAGGCUGUUCUCUUACUUAAUCCAAUACAAUGUCAUUGAGCAUCAAGACUUAAAGGGCAACUUCAUGUGCCACAGAACCCUUCUGGCUGAUGAGUAGUGUUAUCCUCUUUUGGGGAACAAACAUCCUGUGUCAGGUGCAUGCUGCAGUGCAGCCUGCUAAAAUGUCCUCAUGACUUCCACAGGGCUAAAAGACUUUUUACUGGCCUCUGAUUUAAAGGUGACAUUCCUGACAACGUAAUUUAUGUCAAAAUUGUAACUCAAAACAUUUUCAGAUAUCUACAGGCUCAGCGGUGCAGUGAUGCUCCCCUAAGCAGCAAUAAAAAAUAAAGUCUACGUUUAACAAGCAGACAAAGGAAACCAGGUAGCAGUCAAUACAAAUAAAUUAAAAUUUAGAGAAUAAGGGAAGCUAAAGAGAAGUCUGGUAGACUCCAGUACAACAAAAGGGAUAAGUAUUAAUACGAAAUCAAGCAAUGUAGUUGAUGGAGAUAAUAAAGUGGUUCAAAAAGAUAAAGAAAAGGAAAACCUAAUUAAAUAUUUCUAUCACAUUUCAACAAGGAAGAGAUGGUACAAUUGACUACAUGACGACGAAGAAGCAUUUUCCAUUCCCUAAAUACUAAGAAGUUAUCUUCUGAGUUGUCUGAAAAAAUAUCUGUGCUACUGACAAUAAUUUUUGAGAAAUACUGUAAUACACUAGUGAAAUACACUGGUAAAGUGUCUGUAAUGUGCUAAUACUGAAAAAAAGCAGAUAAGGAUAUAUGAGGUAGCUGUAGGCUAACUCUAUUCCUGAGCAAAGUAAAUGAAAGGUUCAUAAGGGAAUCAAUGAACGAAGACUUAAAAAUGAGAAUGUGAUUAAUUUCAGUCAGUUUAUGGAGAAUAGAUCCUACAAAGCAAACCCUGGUGUUUGACUUAGUAUCAGUUGCUAUUUAAAAUUAAAAAAUAGCUCUAUAAUGUAAAUUGCACUGACUGUAAAGAGAACUGUCUUAAAAUAUGAUUGUCCACAAGGAAUCAUCUUCUAAUGGAGAUGUUAAAGUAGUCCUGUGCCCAGACUCCUAUUCAGACUAAAUGACCCAGGUAGCCAUACAUAAAGCUGGUUUUAAUAAAGGAGGUCUAUUGAGUCAAAUGCAUUUUAAUACAGCUGGUGUAAAGUUCUACAUCUAAACUAAGAAAUUCAGACCUUUAGAGAAAUGACUGCGUGUUGGAAAGUGAUAACUAAAAACAACCAAGUUCACAGAGUGACAGUUCAGCUUAAGUUUCCAGUGUGAUAACAUGGAGUGAAAAUCAAAUCAGAGUCUUCAGAUUUUCUAAAUAAAAUAUUAGCAAGAAAAUGAAAGGAAGUGGUUUUAUUUCCAGAUGAGAUGACUAUAAGAAUUAAUAUGGUGCCUGCAAUUUUGAUAUUGAUAAAUUGAAAAGAACCGUAACAGCUACUCAAAACGUGGAGAGAAUAUCUUUAAGUAAGAGAAUCAGAGUAUAAAAUCUGCUUAGAUUACCAAAACAAAAUUGAGAAGUGACUCUAUAAAGAUAAGUAAGAAACUUCUCAGUGGAAAAAAGGGUAAUUGAGGCCUCUCUCACAUAGAAGAAGUUCAAGAGAGUCAGUCCAGUAGUUUAUCUGUCUUUGCACUCUCUGAACUUUCCAACUUUUGCGGUGAAAUCUGUUUUUUUUCAUUGCAGCUAUUUUUUGCUGAGUUACAUGCCUAGUCUAAGUUCUUGAGAUUCCUAUACAAUGAGUACGUGAGUAUCCACAAAAUAAUAUUCAUUUCCCCUCCUACACUUCGGUUGUAGGACAGGAUGAAGCACCACUGUAUGUUCCCCUACAAUGUAGAGUACUGCAUUAAUUGUAGUUUAAUUGCAGAUUCAUUAUGGAUUCACCGUAGAUUUGUCUACACUGUGGAAGGCAAACAACACAUGUAUGUGAAUCACAGCCUCAUGCACUGUCAGGACACUUCAGGACAGCCACUGCACAGAGCAUGACUGUAUCCGAAGGAUGCCAUGGAAUCUGAAGAAUUCGUCUAAGUUGGUACAGCUGAAGAGACUGACCAGCCCUCACAGGCAGAGCAGCCAAAUGAUAUCUGUAAACCACAGAAGCAUUCUGACACCACUGAGAUGACAAUCCUUUGCCUGAGGACGUCCGAGAAUAAAGCAGAAAAGUCAUGAUGAAAAGUAUUAACAAAAUGUGGUGGGAAUAAAUAGUUUAGAAGUCACAGUAACAUCUCUGAAAGUGAAUGGUGAUUCUAGAUGUCCCAGUCUCUGAAUGGCCAACUUGGAGAUGCGUUCUAGGAAAUCGUGCCAUAGAAGUCAUACUUUUUGGGUAGGCAAAACCAGCAUAGCAUAGUCUAGCCACCAAAAAUCUAUUUGAAUCAAAUGCCUGCCUCCUUUGGGAACCAAAAAGUGUCUGUUGAUUUUGUUCUUUUCCUUUUUCAACAUUAAUGUGACUGAAGAAAGGAUUGUUUUACUGAUGUUUUCUUUGGUGAUUAAAUACUAUGAAUAUGUUAUCUGAGUUUGAUGGAUUGCUUAUGUUCUGGGUGUCAGCAAUUGUAAUGUAAACACUGGUGAAGGUCUUCAGAUGACACACUGCUCUGUGCUGUUUUGCCAUAUAAAAAAGGUGUUUGUUUUAGAAAAACUCACAUUUCCUACAAAUACAUGCUGAGUGUUCUGUCCUAGCAAUUUGUUAAUUCACAGAAAUAAAGUUCUUUUUAUAGUC